ACAAAGGCAUAUCACCUAAUGUUAUAACCUAUAGCACGCUACUUCAAGGUCUUUGCAGCUCCGGCCGAUGGGAGGACACUGAGAGUUUGUUAACUGAGAUGGGUGUUAGUAAGAUCUCUCCAGACUUGCACACCUAUAAUAUAUUAGUUGAUGCAUACUGCAAAGAAGGGAGGACAAAACUUGCUCAAGAUGUUAUUGAAAUUAUGAUCAAGAAAAGUGUACCUCCUGAUGUAAUCACCUACAACACACUAAUGAAUGGAUUUUGUUUAAGAGGCAACACUGACAAGGCAUUAGAGGUGCUGAAUACCAUGAGGAGUAAUGAGAUAUGGCCAGACUGUUAUAGCUAUAACAUUCUGAUUGAUGGUCUCUGCAAGAACAGAAAACUUGACGAGGCCAGAAAUAUUUUUGAUAAGCUUGCUUCGAGAGGUUUGCAACCCAAUGUCAUAACACACAACAUAAUGAGCAGAGUACCUUGUCAAGUGGGGUUAUUUGAGGAAGCAAAGGAAUUACUUUCUAAAAUGGAAACGGGCAUUUGUCUGCCUGAUGCUGUGAUUUAUAAUACGAUCAUCCGUGGAAGUCUUUUGAAUAAAAGAUAUGGAGAAGCAGUUGUACUGAUAGAGAACAUGCGAGCUCGUAAAUUCUCAGAAGAUGCAUCUACCACGUCCAUGGUACUAGACCUAUUAUCUAAAGAAGAACAAGACCCCUCCGUUCUUGCUUUCUGCAAAUGGUUUUUGCAAUAGGUACUGAAGUUUAUGGUUCAUUGUUAUGUAUUGUCGUCUUUUAACUUCCUCGAGCUCUCUGCUGUAGUAAUAUGUUUUACUGAGCAAAGAAUUAUUCUAAUUAGCAAAUAGCAAUGUAAAGGGUUCCAUCAGUUAAGAAUAUGUUUUUUGGAGGCAUAUCAUAUAAGGGACUCAGACUGUUCCCAUCAUUUCCAUGAACGAAAAUGUUUUUGUGGUGAUUACUUGUAUGAAGUUCUUAUAUGCGUUUCCUCUCCAAUUUAUAUCUUGGUCAAGAGAAUGGAGGGCUCCAUUUCUUAACUCAUUGGUGUACGAUUUAGACAUUGCAAAAUCAAACUCCGCUUGCACCCUUCCCACUUUAAUGUGAAGAUGUAAGAUCACAGUCUUCCUGCUUUGUUAUGGCCCCUGCCUCCCAUGACAGUUAAACAGGAGCACAAUGCACAAUGGCACUGAGAUACAUUGAAGGUAUGUCAAAACUUUUUUCUUUUGACAAUUACAUGGCCCAGUAGAAAUAGUGUAUACUGCAAUAUUAAUAAAAAAAUGCAAUCGAUAAGUAAACAGAAUGGAAGGCAAAUUCAGUUUUCUUAUACUGAAUUUUGGUUCUUAUUAUCAUAUACCAAAGUAAUAUGUGACAAAAUCAAAUCCUUUGAUCCUUAAAUAUUUCUUUAAUAUCGGCUCUUGGAGUGUUUACCUCAUCCUAUCAGUUUCUGGUGCAAUAUUUAUUGUUGUAUUGAAGCAAUGACUGAUAUAUCGUGACAUUUAAAUGCUAUGAUCCCUAAACUGACAGAUCAUUUCAUACUCUGAGCACCACAAUUCCGAACAAAUUUACCCAGCUAAUAGCGAAUGUACUAUUGCUUGAUGAAAUACUUAUAUCGAAUUAAUGUACACUUUGGGCUAUUUUGCAGGCUUAUACUCUUAUGUUGUGUUUGGUUGGGGUGAAUGAUUCCGGAAAGAAUGGAAUGAAAAAUUAACUAUAUUAUGGGCAAUUGUUAACAAGUUUCAUUCAUUUCUCCAUUCCAUUCCUUACAUUAUGUGCUAGAGAUCAUACAUUCAAUUUGAGAUGGAAUGCUCCAUUCUCUCCUACCCCCAAUUUCUUCUCAAAUCUCAUCAUAGCAAUUUUGCCCUCACUUACAUUUAUUCCAAAAUUUCCCUCCUAUCUCUAUUAAUUACAAGUAAUUUUACUCAUUCUAUUCCAUUCUAUCCAACCAAACACAACAUUAGAAAUAGAAGCAGAAGUUGUGAUGUCAAAGUCGAUAUAAAUAACUUUUCGAAUUGUGCUAAACUUUUCUUCGUUUGGUUUAUUUUUGCGCAAAAGUUCAAGAAUAUGCAGAAAACGCAGGUAAACUGGCAUUCUCUAGUAUACUUAUCUACAAUUUUGUGCCUAUAUAGUCUGGAGUAAAAAUAAAUGAUGUGUAGUACUAGACUUCAGAUGCUGCCAAUUGUCAGCAGCUGCAUCUUUAAUUAAUAUCAUUAGUCAUUAGCAUCAAACGACAUCCAUCCGUUAUAGUUUUGCGAUAUCAAGAAACUGGGAGCCAAAAGUGUUGUUUAGUAAAUAUGCACUAUGCUGAAGAUGACUUGUGAGAGUGUGUUUGCACAAGUAGUAAUCACGAGUUUCUAGUUCAUAAAAAAUUCUGAUGGAACUUGUUUACAGUGUUCGGAGUAACCUGCAAUUGUCAUAUUCUUCUUCUUAUCUACUUCUAUAUAUUAAAGGAGAACCAGGGGCAAAAAGAGCAAAAAUAAUACCUGUGAAUUUCCGUAUAUACCCUCGGUUUUUACAGAAUUUUGAUCAUACCCUCAACUAUUAUACCGGAUUAUACCCAUGUUUUCUAGACCCGAAUAGUAGCCUGAUCGUUUUUAGCUCAAUACUCCUCAUUUUCUUCACGAUCUAUAAUAGUUUCUCAGUAUGUAUAUUGUCAUGAUGUUUGGUUUAGCAUAAGUAUUCUUGUGACCCACGAUUUCUGUUUUGUGAUGGGUUGCCUAUCGUAGAUUGGGUCGCAGAGAAAAGGGAUUGAACAAUAUCAAUUGGGUUUACGAGGCACACCAUUCUUCCAAUGGAUGGUUUCCCUAAAAAACUUGGCAGGAGAAGUUGUACCUGAUCAAAGACAUUCGAUAUUUAAAGCGAGGGAUAAUCUUGUGUUUCUGAAACGCUGGUUCUUCAAUUUUCCUUUACAAUCAUAUCAUCCACUGUUUUCUGUGUAAGAGAUUAAAAUGAUUAACCGGCUAUAUUUUCAGUGCCACAGUGGGGGGUAUACUAGACAGAGCCAUUGAAGCAGAGGGCUGAAAGCAUGGAGAUUUUAUAAGGCUGGUAAGGUUUUGUAGCCUAUGUAUUAUUAUUUUCUUCUUCUGUAUUACUCAGUGUUGUUUUCAUCAUUUCCUGCUUAAACUUCCAAAUGUGCAGGAUCAAGUUUCAAAUUGUUGUCCUGGCUUAUUAGGCACAAAUCACUUGAUUAUUUUGUUGAUAAGGAGCUGGAGGAAAUGAUCAGAAUAAAAUAUUAUGACGCACUCCAUUCCCCGUUCAAGAAUGAAACCAAUUAAGAUGUUGACAAACAUCUUUUCUCAAUUUAAGCCUAAUUUUUACUCCCUCCGUCCCACCAGGUUCUUUACGUUACUUUUCGGCACGCAUUUUAAGACUCUUAUAAAAUAUAGUUCUAUAAUGUGUUUUUUUAUAAAAAAAAUCCUGAAAAAAAGUUUGAGGUUUAAACUUUUAUUCAAAAAAAAAUAAUUUAAAAAAACGUUAUUGAACUAUACUUUAUAAGAGCCUCAAAAUGCGUGCAAACAGUGAACGUAAGCUUCCUGCUGGGACGGAGGGAGUAUCUGUUAACAAGAACAAGUGAAUUCAAUUUAUAUGUAGAUUAUGUAGGUAAGUGGUUAUGCCAUACUUCUAUUUUUGUAACUUGCUAUCCUCUAACUCGAGCUUCAUUUCAUUACCUUGCAGCAACAGAAAAAGCCCAGAAUAUAUAUUGGAUGCAUGAAGUCUGGUCCAGUCCUUGCCCAAAAGUAAGUCUAUUUGUAAGCUAAACAUCUUUAGAUUUUUCUUAUUUUCUUAUACAAGUAUAUGGGUGAAAGGUUUCUAAUAUUAAAAUCAAAUUAUUAAUCCUAAUAUAGUAGAUGCCAGUAGUCUUAGCUAUAAAAAGCAAAGUUAAAUACAUCUACUGAUUAAAACUGUUAAGUUUUAAAGGUCUCGCAAGGACUACUGCAGUAGAAUCUGACCGGAUUGUCGGUGAGUUUCUGCAGCAGUUGUAGGAAAAAUAUGUAAAGGGUGAAAUUGAAGAUAUAUUAGGGGAAGUUGCAUGGACUAGGGGUCCAAAUGCGAUACAGUGAGUUCUUGUUUACUUAAGAUUGCAAUUAAAUCCCAAAUAACUUGUUUGACCACUUCACUGGUAGGACAUUGGACAAAACUAUAUCAAAUUAUGGAGUAAGGCUCGCUGCAGCUAGAGCAGCGCAGGACUCUAUUUUAAGUGGUUCUCCGGAACCAGCAGUUUAUAUGUAUACAGUACUAUACCAAAUUGCCAAAUAUAGCAGCAGUUUAGGUGGACACCUGUUUAUAGCAUGUGCUGGAUGGUAAGUUUGUCACCUUCUUUUCCUAUGCUAACUCUAUACAUGAUACAUUUUAUAAAAAUAGAAAUGUACGUUUUAUUUCGAGCUUAAAUAUCAACAGCGUUUGUAUUUGGACCUUCAUUUUACUUUUUUUCUAGCAAUGUUCAAUGCUGGCAGUAUCAUCAGUAGAUUCACCAGGACUGCUGAUGAACUCUUUGGCAUGUUGAUUGUUUUUCUAUUCAUCCAACAGGCCAUCAAAGUAGUGUUUAGAGCCAGAAACAAGAUAUAGUCAUUGUUGGACAUGGAAUUGCAGGCCUGGCUACUGCUACACAGGUUACAAAAUUCAAGAUUCUGUAUAUUCCCUUCUGCCAGUAUGUUAUUGUAUGCAUGCAAACCGUAAAGUUACCUAAAAACUUAGUUGUUGGAACUAGAUAAGAAAUUUAAAUUCAGAUUUUAUUACUCUUACAUUUCUUGUAGAGCUAGCUGGGUGAAGAAACUGGUUUGUGGAAUGUUGUUUUUGACUAAAUUUCAUAAUCAACUCGGAUGCAAGUGUGGCCCCAGUUCUUACACAUGUUAUGUAUAAGACCUCUACUUACAAUGUAAAGAUGCUGUUCAUUUAAACCGGACAUUUGGUACUUCUACAAUGACAGUCUCACUCGAUAGUUCAGCACAUAGUAGGCUUCAGCAAUAAAGUCCAAGAAAAUAGGAAUGCAAAUCUAGCUUAAGAUGACAUUCACACAUCUAUAGUCUAUACACUUAAGAGCAAGUCCAAUGCUAGAUGCUAUAUAUCUAUUGCUAUUGCUAUAAUAUAGCACCAAAAAGUGUUUUUUGGUGCUAAAAUAAAACUUGCACUCCAAUGCUAAGUUCUAUAACUAGUUUCAAAUUCAACCAACUCAUUAACUUUUACCUAACUCAUUAACUAGUUUCCAAUUUCUAUUUAUUGACGAUGUGGCAACAUGGAUGGAUCCAUCCUUGGUUUCAAAUAUAGAACCAAGGAUGCAUCUAUGCAUGGAUGCAUUUAAAUAUAGCUCCCCUUUGGAGUUGAUUUUUUUACUUUUGAUGCUAUAAUAUAGCAAUAGAACCAAGUAUAGCAUUGCAUUGGAGUUGCUCUAAAAGAGUAAUCAAGUUUGCUGAAAUUGAUUACGUGCGUCAAAAAAAAGAUACUAGCCUCCACAUUGCUGAUGAUCUGGUAAUGGGUAUAUAACUACACAAACAAUAAUAUCCUCUUAUAAUUAUUUACUUGCUUAGAAAUUGAAUAUGGAGAUGUGGAAUUGGGGUUUGAUUUAAUUAGGGGAAGAGCGAAACUUAGCCUAAAAGAUAAGUGGAGGAGAGCGACAAGUAGUCUUAGUGUUAAAGAGAUGAUGAUCUUCUGCGCAGAGAGAGUUGAUCUCAAGAAUAUGGAUGUUCAGUUAGAGAAGCACUUGAAUAGGAUUCCGUCAAUUAACUUGUAACCAUAUUUGCCUCUGCCUAAAGAAGAUUGGGAGCUUGAUCUAUGUAAGCUGGAGAUAAAAUACUAUAAAGCUCUAGGCACUUUUGAUCCUGUAUAUAGGGGCACAUAUGAGGAAACAGAUGCUACCUUUCAAGAAUUUAUUUGUGAUUUUUUUUGGUUAUCUAACUUGUGUUUUCUUACCAUUCUCGCAUUCUCUUUGUAAUAUGUUUCAGCUACUCUAAUACAAUUGGAUGCAUUAGUUCUCUUUUUAAGAAAAUUGUCUUUCAAAGUAGUUGGGAUAAAUUGAAGCUUGCUAUUGUUUUGUAUGAUUACUUUUUAUACCUUUUUAUUUAAUUAUCUGAAAGAUCUCACCAAACUUCGUCAUUCUUAUAUCACAGUGAAGCUGCUGGAUUGGGGAGAGGACGGGAAGGCCAUUAGUGCAGAAACUGCAGCUGUGAUGUAAUCGUAUUUAGAGAAGGAUCAAUUACAUUUAACAUACGGUAAAUCUAAUUUUCACCUCCUCGGUUACAGAUAGAUAUAAGAAGUGAUAAUAUAUAUAAACUACGAUAUCAGACGAAGCCUUCAGGACAUUGAUUCAUUAGGUAGUAGUGUAGUACUACCAUUCCCAAAUUAAUUUUUCUUCUGAAAUAAAAACUGAAUUAAAUAACAAACUGUAGAGCAGGAAGUGGUAGGGAUAGCAAGUAUGACUAGGAGUCAAAUUAGUACCAAAAAUCAGUAUAGGCUGGAGGUCAUUGAUAUCACAUAACCAAUAAGCCAUUAAUAUUUAAGAUUAACCAAGACACUUGUUUGGGACAAAAUAUAUAAUCUAAGACUAAUAGUAACCAUGAAGGAUCAAAAUGAUUAUCAAAUUGAAGGUAGAUUGAAACAACCAAUAUUUUCCAUUAAUACCCUACAAAAAGUCUAUGCCUGACAAAAACUCUACCAGGAACUGCAUUACAUGGAAUCUUAAAUUUUAAAGUUACACAACAUGUAAUAUUAUGCAUAUAAGCAGACAAUAUCCGCAACCAUUCGACAACUCAAACUAGACCUGUUGUGGUAAAUAGAAAGGGGUUCUCUGUUCUCUUAACUUUUCACCUGUUCAUAUUAAAAUUAAUACAUGAUGCACACUACACAGAGUAUAAACUACUGAUAACAAGAAAGGAAACAACUUGGUGAUGAGAGUUGAGACUAAAUACCUCCUUGGUUACUGUAAGAUACUUAAUUUUCAAAGUGAAGUCAAUGACUUGGAUGGAUUUGAUUCCGGUUACUUAUACUGCAAAGAUGUGCUCCCACUAACAAAAUGUUUAUUUAUUUAUUGUUUUUGUCAAGUAAUAAUAUAGGGUUCCAUGUCUCUGAGACUCUGACAAUAUAUUUCUGCAACAAUCUAUCCGCGGUUUUUACCACCGACACACUAUCUAUUUUUUAUGUGAAUGCAAGGUGUCAUGUUACUUAUCUGCUCUUUAGAUACCCAUUCUGGGGUUUCUAUCUUUCCACUAUAAAUAAGCUUAAUGUUAAUUAUCCACUAAAAGUUUUUGAUGAAUAAUCUAUUUAUCGGCAUGACUCAGGGAAUCUAUCUAUUCUAUAUGUAAUAGGAGAGCUAGGGUCUAAAAUAAUGAGAUAUUUUGUUUUAAAAAAAUUGUGAGACAUCAUGUAAAAGUACAUUAGCGCCCCUUUAUACUUUGUCUAAUGCACAACCAUUUUGCUUCACAUUCAGCGACGGUCUUGGUGAUGAUAACACGAGGGCGACCACCUCCUUGUUGGGGGAUCCAUGCACCACGAAGAGGCUAAAGUCGCUGCGAAGGAUGAGGCGGAGCUCAGGAACGACCAAGCAAAACAGGAGGGAGGUGGAAAGGAUGACAAACGGAACUGGAAAGUAAACAGGCACGUAAUCAAGAGGCAAAUAAAGGGGGACACCUAGGCAGGAACAGGGGUAGAUUGGUAAAUCACAGAAGAUUAAAAUGUGACAUGUUGUGUAAUAAAUUUUAGAAAUUAUAUUUUGAACUCAUGUACAAAUUGCAGAGUUAUAUAAAGCACAGAUCGGUUCUAAGCGGGUCAGUAAGUGGAUUAAAUAUAUAUGUGAAUAUUCAGUUGUAAUAUUAGUAUAUUUAAAUAUAAAAUCAUGUCGUGAUAAGAAUUUAAAUUUAUAAUAUUUUUGAUAAGACUCCCUGUGCCCCCUGAAUUGUAUACAACUGUACACGACACUCAUUUUAAUACUCUCUUAAAAUAUAGUUUUAUAACUUAUUUUUAAGAUUUCUUUUUUUUUUUUAAAAUCCAAAUUUGACAUAUAAAUUUUUAUUGAGAAAAAAAAAAUUUAAAAAUAAACAUUAAAGUGCGUACCGAGCAGUGAAAAAAUGUAUAGAAAUGAGUAAGGAGUGAGUAUAUUUGUUUUUAAUUUUUAUAUAUACUUACGAUUACGUUAUAAAAAUAAUAUUUUAAAAUUAAAAAAAUAGCAACUAAACAUCAUUUUUACUGGUUUAUUCCACUUAACGACCGCUUAAGCAGCUUAAUUUUAAACAAUACUUUUCCCCCGCUUAGUACAAAAGCUAAGCAUUUACGCGUAGUUUCAGUCUAGCCGACAACUUACUUGGUUGCUUAAGACGCUUUCCAGAGAGUGACAAAUUGAUAUUUAAUUUCAAAUUUAAAACUUAAUCAAAAAUUUGUGUAUUAGUGUCAUCACAAUCAUUCUUUUUUUUUUUUUAGUAAUACUUGUCAAAUUCAGGAUUUGUAUUUCUAUUUCAAAUAGUCAUUCUAUAAAUCUAUAAUAAAACACUCUUUAUUACUUCACGAUAAACUUUGUGCAAGGAAUAUAUGUGGUUUUAAUUAUAUAUUAAGGUCGAAUUUAGAUAUACACAUAUGUUCAAUUUGAUUGUGUUGGUCGUUAUGUUUGAAUUGAUCUCACUGAUUUUUUUAGUCGAUUAACUAGCUUUGUUUUAUAUUGGUUUAAGUUUUACGAAAACCCCUUUUGUAUUUGACAUUUUGCAGAUAUGUAUCUUUUAAAUAGAAGAUUAUCAAAUAUAUUCAUAUCCCAGAUAUUUCUGCUCGUAGAACAUGCAUGAUAUUUGGGUGUUCAAUAUAAUAGUGGUUUUAAUCCAACUUUUAUUAUAAAAAAUGGAUUUAUAAAAAAUUGAGUGAAAUAUUAUAAAUUAUAAUGCAUAUAAAAGAUACAGUUGAAAUAAUGAAAUAUUAUUCUUUAAUGUUUUAAUAAUUAAAAAAUUAUUUAAAUUAUUUUAUAAAAUAUUAAUUUCGAUAUAAUAUACAGCCCGUGCCUUGCACGGGUUUUUACGCUAGUUUUUUGAUCAAUUUAGUGAUAUUGCUCGGUUUUCAUUCGAUACAUUCAUAUUUAAUAGGUAGGGUCAGGGUCCGGGUCCACACAUUCAAUAUCAGGACAUACUGUCAACGGGAAAAAACCGCUAGACGUUUUAAUCCUGAAUUUUUGAUGAAUGUGCAGGGGUGCUACGGUGGAUUCAACAGAAAAUUGUCUCACUCUAGGGUUUUUCUCAUUCAACAGCAUCUUUUUUUUUCAUCGGAAUUAUGCUACUGACGUUUUGACUAUUCUCGACCUUAGCAGGUGUUUGUUUUUACCAAAAUUUGCAGGGUUAAAAGCCAAGCCUAUUUAAUUUCUAUAACAAUGAAGUACGUGUUUUUGUGUAUGAAUAAUUAAAAGAUCGAAUGGAUGAAUAUCGAAAAGAAAAUAAAAGACAAGAACACAAUCAAUUUUGGUGACGCGGAAAACCCCUUGUAAAAGGUUAAAAACCGCGGGUGGGAAUGUCCCAGCCAAAUAUCCACUAUAAUGUUGUAAUAUCAGCUUACAAGUAUGAGAAAUACAAGAUAAAAGCAUAAAAAGAUGUUGUCAUCAGCUCCAAAGGAGUUCACGUUCGUCAUCAAUGUGCACCCGUCGGCAGCAGAGAGUUCCCGUCGGCAGCAUGACUUGAGAGAGAUGAAGAUGUGUAAUCUCAGUUGGUAGAAGAUGAAGAAUCUCAGCUAUUGUAUGUUAAUGUAUGUAUGUGUACGUGCAUUGGUUUGUAUAUCUAGGGCUUGAUUUAGGGUUUACAAGUAAGAAAAAGAACGAUAUUAGGUAGAAGAUGAAGUUGUAGGCUUAUAGAAGUGGAUUGAUGAUGAUAAUGAUUCUGAGUUGUAGUGCAGUUAUGUAGUAUGUGGGAGAUAUAUCAGAAUGUGUAAUGUAGUUAUCCUCUCAUACAUAUUUGAGGCUAUAUAUAGCUCAUGUAGUUAGACUCCUACUCUCCCUCUAACUCCUAUUUUUCCUCCUUUUCUUGCUCCACGUGCAUGUUAACUCCCUCCUAUAUUGCUGGCACUUCUUCAACUACUGUUUGAAUUCUCCUCCUAAAUAGGUGGGCUUGUUAGGACUCAGUCUUCAUGCUUAUCCACUUGUUACAUCACAGUUGCUUUCUCGUCAUGUCGAUGAUUCAUCCCGUCAUGUUCAUGCAUGUCCCGUCAUGUCUUGACACCUGUAAAAUCUGGGUACAAACAAUAGCCCCUAAUUUUAUUGGGUGGAGACAUGCAGCCAAUGAAAUUACGUCUUGAAUACUCUGUUUUCCUCUGAUCAAUGCAAAUAGGAACACCGAUGCUAUGUGAAAAUACCGACGCUUGCAACACAUGAUCACGUCAUGUCGAUUUGUCUUGUUCGCUAUUGUCUUGUAUCAAAUCUCUAUCUCGUUGUGUCGUUAUAACGUCAUCUCGAGUUGUCAUCAUUGUCCAGAUCUUCUAAUGGUGAAAACACCGAUGAGUAGAUGCUCUGUUGUCGUCAUAUUCACGUUCUAAGAUAAGAACCUUUGUAUACGCUCUAGUUGUUUAUAGGCUCGUAUGUAGUUGAAAUCAACCCCGUAAUAUUAACAUGUCAAGUUGUAUGAUGUUGCUUUGCAUUAUAUAUGUAAAGCCCCUUGUAGAUGUCUUCUGACAUGUGUAAGAUAUUGUAUAUAUCUUGUCAUUGUCAGUUGCAUAUUUUGAUGUGUCCAUGACUUGAAAUUGGUUCAUGUGACCCCUUAAUUGGGAGUGACUAUGACGUAAUGGAUAGGAGUACCAACACGUAAAGUGUUUUAAAACAUGUCUUCCGUUCGUAAUAUGUAAUUUGUAGACCUGAUGUGUAACUCGUCAUCAUAGCUAUAACGUGAUAUGAUGUUUGUAACUGUAUAUGUCACUUAUAAUUAUAAUGUGUGACAUGUGGUUUAAUUUGUCAUGACACGUGUAGGUGGUGACAUGUAGAAAUGUAUAUUGGUAUUUAUAUGUAAUGUGCUCGACUAAGGGUCAUGACUAGUGUAAUUUCGUGGAGCAUUCGUCGUCAUCAUAUGUUAAAUACGUCGAUGUAUAUAAACUUGUGAUAUGCGUAAUUGUAGUCGACAAAUUUAUUUUUUAUAACGUUGGUGCACGUAGUAUAUGUAUUCGACAAAUAUAUAUAUUCAAUGAAUAUAUAAUUUUCAGACGUUGAUGCAUGUAGUAUAUAUAUUCGACAAAUAUUUAAUUUUCAAACGUUGAUGUAUUCGACAAAUAUGUUUAUUUUCAAACGUCGAUGCAUGCAUUCGUAGGCUAGUUAAAAGGCCUUUCCCUCUUGAAACUUAGCUCGUAAUUGUAAUUGUGAUUAUGUAAUUAUUAAAUACAUAAUGUUGAAAUGCAUCAUUAUUCGUGGCGUCGUAAGUUAUUUGUGUAAUGUGUAGUGUUGUCGUCACCAUCAUUCGAUAAUGAUCAACCGUAGUAGGAUGGGUGAUCAGCCCUCCUUGUCUAUUAAUAUGUAUCUAAAAUAUACUCAUGCAAUAUCAUGUCACAAUAAAUAUCAUGAUGAAGACGUCAACUUUAAGCAGUUAAACAUGGACAAUUUAGAAUAACUUGCAUAACAUAUUUCAAGACACAUAUCUAUCAAGUAGAGUAGCAAGUCAUGUAAGAAACAAGCACAUGUGACAUUAUGCUUAGAUCACAAAUCAUUCAAGCAAACAUUUAUUCGAAGCAUGAAAUAUCAUCUGAAUGGCAUAAGCCCAAGUAAAGAUCGUAAUCGACUUAUUAUCAUAUUGCUACAGACUAAGAGAAUAAAGAGGAUGAGUUCACUUACAUGUGAUAAAGCUUCAAAAGUAGCAUGUUCAAGCCCCUGGGGACUUGUAAUUCGUAAUGUCUUGUUGAAUCAGGUUGAAGUCGUCGGACACUUCCAAAGGCGUCAAUGAUUCAUGUCCCGUCAUGAUGUUGACUGUCAUGUCAGUUUACGGAUAUGUCCAUAAGUUGAUGAGGUUGUACCCCUUUCUGGGUAUAUGUCUUGUACCACGUUCGCCUUGUCAUCAAGCUAACCUUAAUUAAGUAUUUUGGACUGGUCGAUAGUCCAUUUUUGAUUCUUUCUUCUAGUUUAUCUUUCGUGGUCAUGUCAUGUCUUUUUUACUUCACAUCAUGUUGAACCAGUGAUGUCGAUCGUGUUUAGGGUAUGCUAUAUUGUCCCCUUGUGGCGAUUUUAGGACAAGUCCCAAUCAUGUCCUGUUGAGAUAGUAGAUUUGGACUGAAAUCAGCCACAAAAUUAGCAAAAUAUGUGACUCGAUCGUUGUUUGUGACUCAUAGGUGAUAAUGUAUUCGACAUGAUCUGUCAUGUUUCUAGAGUUCAUGUCUAGUUGUCACGUCGAUCAUCAUGUCAAGACUUCAUGUCCAACUGUCACGUUGUUAUUUUUACACUGUCACCAUGUUUGCUAGUCAUUCUGGACACUCGACUUCAUGUAUGAUGUCCCUUUUGAUUUAGUUGUUUGCUUUUCGAGUGAUUAUCAUAAUGCUGUUUGAUUUCCAUUUGACAUGUAUGCGGUUUGAGUUGUCAUCAUUUAACUUGUGUAUGUUCAUGUCGAGGCUGCUACCCAUCAUGCCGUCUUGAUCCCAAACGAAGGUGUCCAUUCUUUCUGUCAAAAAAUCAAUUAUGUCGGUUUCUCUCUUUGGUGUCAUGUCAUGUCCUCUUGUGGUGUUGUUUUUUGUCGUUUAGAUGUCAUCCAUGUCGUGUUGGUCAUGUUGUGUCACGUGUGAUUUACUAGUUCCCGUCAGACGUGAUGAGAUUAGUGUAACUUGUUCAUGUCAAUCUAGUCGUACAUGUCAUGGUCGUUUGUGGUCACUUCAAUUCAGCCAACCCGUCGGACAUCCCCAUGUUUGUAACUAGAAAUCUUCUCGCCAUGUCAACCAAAGUGAUGUGAUAUAGAAAAUCAGUGUAUCCAUGAUGCCUAUCUCUUGUAGCCCCUUUUGAACCGAUUAAUAUGCGCGUCGACGUGAACUCCAAGCCUAUUUAAUUUCUAUAACAAUGAAGUACGUGUUUUUGUGUAUGAAUAAUUAAAAGAUCGAAUGGAUGAAUAUCGAAAAGAAAAUAAAAGACAAGAACACAAUCAAUUUUGGUGACGCGGAAAACCCCUUGUAAAAGGUUAAAAACCGCGGGUGGGAAUGUCCCAGCCAAAUAUCCACUAUAAUGUUGUAAUAUCAGCUUACAAGUAUGAGAAAUACAAGAUAAAAGCAUAAAAAGAUGUUGUCAUCAGCUCCAAAGGAGUUCACGUUCGUCAUCAAUGUGCACCCGUCGGCAGCAGAGAGUUCCCGUCGGCAGCAUGACUUGAGAGAGAUGAAGAUGUGUAAUCUCAGUUGGUAGAAGAUGAAGAAUCUCAGCUAUUGUAUGUUAAUGUAUGUAUGUGUACGUGCAUUGGUUUGUAUAUCUAGGGCUUGAUUUAGGGUUUACAAGUAAGAAAAAGAACGAUAUUAGGUAGAAGAUGAAGUUGUAGGCUUAUAGAAGUGGAUUGAUGAUGAUAAUGAUUCUGAGUUGUGGUGCAGUUAUGUAGUAUGUGGGAGAUAUAUCAGAAUGUGUAAUGUAGUUAUCCUCUCAUACAUAUUUGAGGCUAUAUAUAGCUCAUGUAGUUAGACUCCUACUCUCCCUCUAACUCCUAUUUUUCCUCCUUUUCUUGCUCCACGUGCAUGUUAACUCCCUCCUAUAUUGCUGGCACUUCUUCAACUACUGUUUGAAUUCUCCUCCUAAAUAGGUGGGCUUGUUAGGACUCAGUCUUCAUGCUUAUCCACUUGUUACAUCACAGUUGCUUUCUCGUCAUGUCGAUGAUUCAUCCCGUCAUGUUCAUGCAUGUCCCGUCAUGUCUUGACACCUGUAAAAUCUGGGUACAAACAGUGUUGUUCAGAAGUUGUCAGACUGCAUUAUUCCUUCUCCAUCCACCACUCAUCUCAAACUAAAACAAUUACUUGGUUUCGACAAACUUCACCAUGUUUUUUUGAUGAUUACUAAUAUAAUUUUGAGUUCAGUUGUGGAUAUCGAUAAUAAUAAACUAAUAUCUUGAAUAAUAACUUGAAACUUACUACAUCAAUUCUUUCUUUGACGGAACUUUACUCGGAUAAUCAUGAAAAUAAAAUUCAUAAAAUAAUUUUGUCAAAUUAAAAUUUAUUUGGUUACUACAUUGAUGAUAAUAAUAAACUAAUAUCUUGAAACUUACUACAUCAAUUCUCUGUUUGGGAACUUUAAUCGAAUUCAAGUUCGACCGGGCCUUUAAUUUCAAGUUCGAAGCUCGGCUCGUAAAUAGUUCGAUAGGCUCGAGUUCGUCUCGAAACCUCGAAUCGAGUCACCAAAUAUUGACAAAAACUCGAAUUAUGAUUGGUUCGACUCGAAUUCGAUCCGAUAAAAUAUAUAAAUUAUAAAUAAAAUAUUAAAUAUAUUUGUUAAAAUAUAUUUAUAAUAAAAAAUUAAAAAAUAAUAGAGGUUCGAUAAGGCUAGCGAACCUUACGAGCCGAGUAAUUUGAAGCUCGAGCUCGGCUCGGUAAAACAUCCAAAUAGCUCGAGCUCGAGCUCGGCUCUAUUAUUACCGAAUCAAAUUCGAAUAUUUACCGAGCCGAGCUCGAGUAGCUCACGAACAGUUUGGUUUGUUUACACCCCUAGAAUCAGCUACAUGGUUUGUAUAUUCCAAACCCAUACUUGGUGUUUGGUUGGUAAAUACAAAAUCUCAAACACAUAUCUUAAACCCUCAAGAUAAGGAUUUUUGAUACCAAGGGGGAGGUGGAUAUGAGAUGGAGGUAUGAGAUAGCAUUUAUUUUUGAUUUUGUUAAUGAAAUAAUAAUGUUUAAUACAAAAUUAAAUCAGUGAUGCAAAAAUAUAUGACAACAAUAAUUUCAUUAAUAUUUUUAAUUAAUAUAAAUUAAUAACUUUGAAAAAUAAUUGUAUAUUUUGAUUCAAUCACUCAGCCAAACACACACAUGUUAUCAGCCAAUUCUAAUUUAACCUCAUAUCAGUCCUCCUCGAACCAAACCAUCCCUAAUAGUUACUUGUAUGGUUGAUCUUUUAAGAUAGUCUCAUAAGAAAAUGCCUGAGAUUGAGAAGUUAUCGAAUGUGAUGGAUGUCUAAUGUGAUGCAACCGUAUCUACAAAUAUUGCUUUCACCAUAUGGAGUACAUGAAGUUGCAGAUUUGGAUAAGAGGGCAGUAGAGCCCCUAUUUAAAUUGGACCCGUAAAAUCUUACAAGAAUAUUGAAAAUGAAAGACAUUUUUAAAGGGAUAAAUAUCAAGUAGGUCACUCGUUUCGUCUAAAUGUAUCAAUUGAGUCACUGAUUUCCAAAUUGACUCAAAUAAGACACUAAUUAGAAAAAUUUGUAUCAAAAAUAUCAUUCUAUCGUUAGUCGAAAUUUUGAAAGUAUUAUAUAUUGAGUUUUGCACAUUUUUUAUGAAUGGUAUUACAUCCAAAUGAAAGAUUCCGAAUUCUACUAUUUUCGCUAAUAUUUUUAUAUUUUUAUGAAUGGUAUUAAAAUAAAAUGUGUAUUUCAUCAAAUACACAUCUUUACGUCCGAGGACAUCAACAUGCUGACACAGGGAGGAUGGGAAUAGCUCGGAGCUUAAGCACCUAGUGCCAAAAAAAAGAAAAGAAAAUUAAUAAGAAAAAUAAAAUUUUAUAUAUACAAAAGCACCUUCUAAAUCCUUUUAAAAGUGUAUAAUAGUAGUUUUGAUAUGUAUUACCUUGUAUUAAUAUAAAAAAUAUCAACAUUUGAGAUUAUUUUUUCAAUAAUAAUUAAAUUUUUAUUUAUCAAAUCAUGAAUCCACGUUGGUCGCUAUGCUGACUUGAUACACAAUCAUGCAUCAAUCAUAUGUCAAGUUGUCAGAAAAUGUAGUCAGAGAUCGCUCAAUAGAACAUAUGAGAUGAACCCAUGAAAGCCAUAGUAGAUAUAUGUGUCAAGUCUCGUAAAGAGCGAGAAUCAAAUUUAAGUGUAAUCGAUAAAUUGAUAGGAUAUUUUAAAAUAUUUAUACGGAUUAUUUAAUAUUGUUUACUAAAUCGGAAUUUUCAAAAUUUGUUUAAAGCCCGUACUGUUUGAGAGGGUUGUUCAAAGAAUUAUUCAAAACUUGUCUGUCAAGUCUACACGAUCAAUUUAAGAGGUUGUUCAACUGUCGUGCCGUUAGAAAAAGUACUUAUUAUAUAACUGUUUGACACUACUCAUAACGGACCAAUUGCAUUUACCACCUACUCGAUUUCUCAACUUCCCAUUUCUGCUUAGAGAGGCUUCAGCAAUGGCUGUCAAGAGAGGAGCUUCUCUCACAAUGACUUGUUUCAGCUUAACCCCUCCAAUUAUAAGCCCUUGUUCUCUUUUACCCGCUCUUUUUCAUUCUCAUUUUCUUCCUUUCUCUACUAAACCUAACUCUAAUUUACAACCCAAACCCGCCUUUAUUCCUUCUCCAUCCACCACUCAUCCCAAACUAAAACAAUUACUCUAUCAUAAAUCUAAGCUUGGUUUUGAUAAACUCCACGAUGCUCUUCUUGUGUUCGAUCAAAUGCUCCUUCUAAAAUAUAGGCUUUCUGUUGUGGAUUUCACACAACUGUUAACCGCCCUGGUUCGAAUGGAAGAGUACUCAGUUGCCGUCUCCAUGUUUAGAGAAUUCCGUGUUUUAAGCAUUCCUGUUAAUAUUGUUACCUUUACUACUGCCAUACAUUCAUGUUGUCAUUUGAACACACUUGAUUAUGCCUUUUCAUUGCUUGCUGUAAUCAUCAAGAGUGGUCAUGUCCCCAAUGUUGUGACCUACAACACUCUCAUCAAGGGCCUUCUAUCUCAAGACAGGCCUUUGGAGGCCAGGGAUUUGUUUAAGAAGCUUAUCAUGUUUCAAGAAAUUCAGCCCAAUGUAGUUAUGUAUAACACCAUCAUUGAUGGUCUCUGCAAGACUUCAAAUACCUCCAUGGCUCUCAAGUUGUUAAGAAAGAUGGAGGAGAUAGGUUGUAACCCCGAUGCGGUAACUUAUACCUCAAUUAUUGAUUCUUUGUGCAAAGAGAGACGAGUCGAUCAUGCAUUGGUUCUUUUGUCGGAAAUGACCGACAAAGGCAUAUCACCUAAUGUUAUAACCUAUAGCACGCUACUUCAAGGUCUUUGCAGCUCCGGCCGAUGGGAGGACACUGAGAGUUUGUUAACAGAGAUGGGGGUUAGGAAGAUCUCUCCAAACUUGCACACCUAUAAUAUAUUAGUUGAUGCACACUGCAAAGAAGGGAGGACAACAGAUGCAGAAGAUGUAAUUGAAAUUAUGAUCCAGAAAGGUGUCUUUCCUGAUUCAAUCACCUGCAAUGCACUAAUGGGUGGAUUUUGUUUAACAGGCAAAAUGGACAGGGCAUUAGAGGUGCUGAAUACCAUGAGGAGUAAUGGGAUAGCGCCAGAUCGUUAUAAUUAUACCAUUCUGAUAAAUGGCUAUUGUAAGAGGCAGGAACUAGACAAAGCCAUCAAUCUCCUCGAACAAAUGCAUGUUGAAGCUAUAAAACCCGAUGUUCAAACCUACAAUACACUGAUGCAUGGUCUCUUUCAGACGGGUAGACAUGUUGAGGCGCACAACCUUUUCCAUGAAAUGCUAAAAAAAGGUAAUAAAUCAGAUCUCGCAACAUGUCGAAUUCUCUUAGACGGCCUUUGCAAGAACCGAUACAUGGAUGAUGCAAUCUCCUUCUUUCGAAUGAUGGAAUGUGAAGGUAUAGUACAUGAUAUUCAAAUACAUAAUAUCCUAAUUGAUGGUCUCUGCAAGAUCAGAAAGCUUAAUAAGGCCAGAAUUAUUUUUGAUAAGCUUGCUUCGAGUGGUUUGCAACCUGACGUCAUAACACACAACAUAAUGAUCAGAGGACUUUGUCAAGAAGGGUUAUUUGAGGAAGCAAAGGAAUUACUUUCUAAAAUGGAAACGAGCAUUUGUUUGCCUAAUGAUGUGACUUAUAAUACGAUCAUCCGUGGAAGUCUUUUGAAUAAAAGAUAUGAAGAAGCAGCUGUACUGAUAGAGAACAUGCGAGCUCGUAAAUUUUCAGAAGAUGCAUCUACCACAUCCAUGGUACUGGACCUAUUAUCUAAAGAAGAACAAGACCCCUCCGUUCUUGCGUUCUGCAGAUGGUUUUUGCAAUAGGUACUGAAGUUUAUGGUUCAUUGUUAACUUCCUUAAGUUUUCUGCUGUAGUAAUAUGUUUUACUGAGCAAAGAAUUAUUCUAAUUAGCAAUGUAAGGGGUUCCAUCAGUUUGUUAAGAGCAAAUAGACAAUAUAUUUGAGACAGUAAGACUAUGUCUUCUAUUUGUAUUGAGUACGGUCUAUGUUCAAGUUGUCAUUCAGAAUUGAAACUUUGCAUCUCGAUGCCUCUUAUAUACAGAAAAAGAAAUCAGCAUUUGAAAAUAAUAAAAGAAGCCUAUGUAAUACUGAAUCUAAGGGUGUGUGGGGAUUGCCAUAUUGCUAUGAAAUUUUUAUCAAAAGUUUUUGAGAGGCUAUCAUAUAAGGGACUCGCACUGUUCCCAUCAUUUCAGUGAACGAAAAUGUUCUUGUGGUGAUUACUAGUAUAAAGUUCUUAUAUGUGUUUCCUUUUCCUCUCCAAUUUAUAUCUUGGUCAAGAGAAUGGAGGGCUCCAUUCCUUAACUCAUUGGUGUACGAUUUAGACAUUACAUUGCAAAAUCAAACUCUGCUUGCACCCUUCCCGCUUUAAUGUGAAAACGUAAGAUCACAAUCUUCCUGCUUUGUUAUGGCCCCAGCAGCUAAAUAUGGUUAAAUGAAUCUAAAGGUGCUGGACAGUUAAACAGGAGCACAAAUGCACAAUGGCACCGGGAUACAUUGAAGGUAUGUCAAAACUUUUUCUUUUGACAAUUACAUAGCCAGUAGAAGUAGUGUGCACUGCAAAAACUAAUGAAAAUAUACAAUCCAUAAGUAAACAGAAUGGAAUGCAGAUUCAGUAUUGUUUUACUGAAUUUUGGUUCUUAUUAUCAUAUACCAAAGUAAUAUGUGACAAAAGCAAAUCCGUUGAUCCUUAAAUAUUUCUUAAAUAUCGGCUCUUGGUUUAUCUCAUCCUAUCAGUUUGCGGUGCAAUAUUAUUACCGUAUUGAAGCAAUGACUGAUAAAUCUUGACAUUUAAUUGCUAUAUUCCUGAACUGACAGAUCAUUUUAUACUCUGUGCACCACUACUCCGAAUUAAUUUACCUAGCUAAUAGCGAAGGUACCAUUGCUUAGAGAAAUACUAAUAUCUAACUAAUGUACACUUUUGGAUAAUUUGCAGGCUUAUAUACUUAGAAAUAGAAGCAGAAGCUUGAUGUCAAAGUCAAUAAUAAUAACUUGUAAUUUCUGAAUUUUAUUUUUAAGCAAAAGUUAAAGGAUAUGCUAAAAAUGCAGGUUAACUGACAUCCACUAGUAUAUUUAUCUACAAUUUUGUGCCUACACAGUCUCGAGUAAAAAUAAAUGAUGCAUAGUACUGGACUUCAGAUACUGCCAAUUGUAACGAGAUCCAUCCAUUUUACUUUUGAGACAUCAAGAAACUGGGAGCCGAAAGUGUUGCUUAGUAAAUAUGCACUAUGCUGAAGAUCACUUGUGAGUGUGUUUGCAUAAGUAGUAAUCACGAGUUUCUACUUCAUGGAAAUUUUGAUGGGACGUGUUUGCGGUGUUUGGUAUAACCUACACUUGUCAUAGUGGGUGUUUGGCACGGGCUUAUAAGCCCCGGCUUCUGAAUUAUAAGUUAGAAGCACUUAUUUGUACCGUUUGUGUAAAAAGUCAAGAAGUACUUAAAAAAAGCUAUGAUUACUAGCUUUUGUCCCACCGCUUCUACUUAUUUUCCAAACACUUUUAUCACUUAUAAGUCUUAACUUGCUUCUAACUUCUAUUUCACUUUUUUAUUUUAAGCAAUAAGCACUUAUUUUAAGCUCAUCCAAACGGUCCCAUAAUAUUCUUCUUAUUUGUUAUUUGAUUUAGGUACUGUUUGGGGUUGCUGUUGCAGACAGCAACAGCAGCUUUUUGCUGAAAAGCAGGUGAAAAACUGUUUGGUAAAUACAAAAACAAUUUUUCCGAACAACAACUUUUAGCUGAAAAGCUGCUGUUAGAAAAAGCAGGUCCUCCCAUGCUUUUGGAAAAAGCUGCUUUUCAUCUUUUGCAGAAUGCUGUUAUAAAUUUCAUUAUAAAACUUUACCAAAAACAUUAUUUUUAUUUAUAUUAUAACUCAAAAUAAGUAAAUAUCAAAAAAUUACCAAACAGUUAUCUGAUUUCUACAACAGCACUUAUUUUACCAGCACUUUUUCUGACAGCACAGCAAUUUUCCCAAACAGACCCUUAGUGAUAUUGCCCGGUUUUCAUUCUAUGCAUUCAUAUUUAGUAGGUAGGGUCCGGGUCCCUCACAUUCAAUAUCAGGGCAUAUUGUCAGCCCGAAAAAAAAAAAUCUCUAGACGACUUAAUCCUAAAUUUUUGAUGAAUAUGCAUGGAUGCUAAAGUGUCAUCCAACGGACUAUUGCCUUAUUCUAAGUAAUAAUCAAAGUAAUAAUCUUUUAAUUUAACAAUAAAAAUCUAAGACAUUAAAAUACUACUCCCUCCGUUUUUUAAUAUUUGACGUUUUGACUUUUGACACACAUCUUUAGGUGAAUUGACCGGAUAAUAUAAAUUAUUAUUUUUGAUUGAUUUUUUUUUUGUGAAUAAAAAUUUUGAUUAUAUAUUUUUAUUCAAAAAAAAAUUUAAAAAUAAUAAUUUUAACUACUUGGUCAAAAUACUUAAAGAUACAUGCCCAAAAUCAAAGCGUCAAAUAUUAAAAAACAGAGGGAGUAUAUUGUUGAUAUGAAAAUUAAAAGAUGGGAAAUUCCUAAUGGUACCAUUGUAGAAUUGGCUUUUCCAAAUGGUACCAAUGACUAUUUUGGGCUUCCAAGUGGUAACACCCAACUUUUGACUUCAUCCGGCACAUACCACUCUGUUAAUCAAACGUUAAUCAAGCUGUUAAGUAGUAACUAAAACCAUAUUUCCCUCCAAAAUACUGUUACCAGCAAGUUAAUACAAUAUCCAAAACAACCAACAAGUCUGAAUCAAAUAAUUUCUACAGAAGUUUCACAAAUGUCCCAAAAUAUGUUCUAACCAUUUAAAGCAUAAUAAGCAUAAUAAAACAGAUCUGAUUUAAGGCUGGGAUUGAGAUAGUGGACAUUGAGACAUGUUGAUUUCAGUGGACUGUGAUGUGUUUCCCUCUUUAGUCUGAUCUGAAGCUUUCUUUUUCAGAGCUGCAGCCGCUUUCCCUGCCUUGGAUUGAUCCCUAAUUCUUGGAUGUCUAACCACUAUUGGUCCAUUCCCUGCUGCCUUCUUUUCUUUUGCAGUCAAACCUCCCUUGCAAGUUCUUGAAUUGUGGCCAAGGCAGUCACACUUAGUGCAUUUCACUGUUUUUGCUCUCUUCCCUUUCUGGUUUUCUCCUUCUUCCCUUUUCCUGUUUCUGCUUGGUCUCCCAACCCCUCUCUUCAUUGCAGGUGGCAUGACAAUAGGUAGAUCAUCAUAUGCAGGCCAUUGGCUUUGGUCAGGUAUGGGGUUAAUGCUAAAACUAUAACAAAGUUUGUAUGUCCUAACAGAGUACCAUGCACUAACAACAUUGUGAGGAUCAAUCUUGGCAUGAACCAUAGCCCUUAUGGCAUGCCUACAUGGGAUGCCACUAAUCUGCCAAGCUCCACAAGAACAGAUCUUGUUAUUUAAAGAUAAAGGAAAGUGAGAUUUACCCUCAUGAAUUUCAUACUCUCCUGGACUAGACAUAUAUGCUUUGCAGCUUAUAGUGUCCUUGCUAAUAGCUUUCAACACCUUCUUUAUCUUUGGACAAAGGUCAUCAUCCUUCCAAGUCAUGGCAGCUUGACUUCUUGUGGCAAUUCUUACCAUGCACACUCUUCUAAUACUUGUUUCAAGCAAAUUAUAUAAUUAGGAAUAUCAAUGCAAAAAUAUGACAUGAAGAAUACAAACAUGUAUAUACCUUCAAGUAAAGUCAAGACUGGUCUGCAUCUAUCAAUUCCAAGAGUGGAAUUGAAACUCUCCACAAAGUUUGAAGUGUUGGAAUCAUUACAUACAUUAGGAUCAAAUUUGUGUUUACUCCAACCAGCAGGAUCUCCUAGCUCUGCAAAAAAUUUCAUGACACUAUCACCACCCACUUCUUUCAGCUUUUCCAUUGCCUUCCUAUAUGUGAACUGUGAUGUGGCAUUACAAGCCCUCCAAAACAGAAUAUAGAGCAAGGGACCAGAAAAUUGUUUUUUGUAAUUUCUGGAGAUGUGUCUACAACAAUAUCUCCUCUUUACAGUUGGCCAUACNCAAUGCACCCAAUGCAUUAUGAGUAUUAUACAAUCAUAUUACACCCAAUGCACCAGUUAACAGUUAUGAGUAUUAUACAUAUCAAUGUAUAUUAUGCAAACCCAAAAAACCUCAUUUACAGGGGAGUCAAAAACUGUUAACUAUCAUACAUAAACACAUAUACACAUAUAAACUCGCACAUAUACGCAGAUAAAACCUAAAACAAUGAAUUAAGCCGCGAAAGAUAUAUAUGUAUCGAUUAUAUAGAGUAAUUGAAGGUGAAAUGCAUACCUUAUAUUUUGAUCACUGUUGAAUUAAGUAGCGAAUGGCUGUAUUGUUUUGUAUCUCGAUCAAUCCCCUCCGUGCAGCAGAACCCUAAUCCUGUGUGCGUGUUUGAUUCUGUGACAUUAAACCCUCGUACCCGACUAAUGACCCAAAUAGCUGUUUUUUUACUUUUAAUUCAUUUUAUUUUAAUUACUUUUUUUAAUUAAAUCAUAAUGGAUUAACGUUUUAUUAACGUUAACUAAACGGAGUGGUAUGUGCUGGAUGAAGUCAAAAGUUGGGUGUUACCAUUUGGAAGCCCAAAAUAGUCAUUGGUACCAUUUGGAAAAGCCAAUUCUACAAUGGUACCAUUAGGAAUUUCCCUUAAAAGAUUAAACCACAUUAGAGUAAUAUGAUAUGUAUAUGUUCACAAGAGAUACCAAUGAUUUACGAUGUCAUUUCUUCAUGUAUUUGAUGAUGUUGGAAUAUUAUGUCACUUUAUUAGUAAUAUUAUUCAUUUUCUCUUUAUUUUACAUGUGCUGGAGAAGAUGAAAUUUUCAUGGAGAAGUAAAAGGUUAUGCUCGUAGAAGUCACACUUCAGAAAGAUAUUCUCGGAUCUUUGUGCUAGUUCAUAUACAAUUAAAUCUCUAUUAAUUAAUAAUGGAAUAAUAACCUUGUAAAAAUAAUACUUUUUACCAGUUUCAAUAUAAUAACAAAAACAGUAUUUCUAUAAAAAUAAAGUCGGUGAAUUAUUUUUUCCUCUUCGACCCAAAACUAUUACUCCCUCCGUCCCACAAUACAUGUUUCUUUUGGAAGAAUUUUUUGUCCCAUCAUACUUAUCCAAUUUUAGUUUCCAAUGCAAAUAUAUUGGCAUUAUUCCAAAAUUACCCUUCUUGAAAGUUGUAUAACAAUUAAUAAGGGUUGAAUAGGAGUCUACAUUCAUACAUUAUUAAGGGUACAAGUGAGAAAUUUUUAUCUAAUUAAUGUUUUCUUAAUAUGCGUAAAUUUUUCAAAAGAGACAUGUAGUGUAAGACAGAGGGAGUAUUUUAAAGAUCCACAAUUUCUCGUAUAAACAUCCAAAUUUUGGUUCAGCUGGUUAAAGAGGGGACAAGUAUCUUUUUGGUUACAAGCGGUGAGAUGGUUGAAUGCUUCUGUGAAGGCUAGUCUGUUCAAAUUCACGUCUGCCAAACGCUCCUUCACUUUUAUGAUUUCAGCAUCUACUUUAACACUCUGCUUUAUGAAUUUAUCAUGUUCUCUCAGCAGCUUUUCUGGUUGCUUUCCCGCAGGGUUAUGAUCCUCUCCCGGCUCUUUCAAAUAUUUCAAAAAAUCUCGCACUGCUUCGUUGUCAUGACCCUUAAAAUUUUCUAUUGCUUGCUCAUAGGUAAUCUUUCUUGGCACCACAGCUAACAAUUUGUCCACUCUUUUGAUCAAGUCUUUAUAGUCCACUGCCACUAUUUUUUCCUUUUCUGACCCUUUAUUAUCUUUUCCCUCCAGCCUUUCAAUUUGCUCUUUCAUUGCCUUCAAUUCUGUUUCGGCGUUAGUUAUUUUUCUAUCUUUGUCUCUCCCUUUUCGUGCUAGAACCUAUUCGACUUCUCUUCUAUCUCUGCACUCCGGUCUGCCUCUGGCUCAGAACCCUUAAAUGAUGGAUCAGAUAUGCCAAACAAUGCACUGUAUGAUUCCACUUUUAAGUAGUUUCUAAGGUGAAGUAGUACAUUUUGCAACUUAUGUUCUAUUUAUAAGCUAACUCAAACACGCACAUGUAGUCGGGUUAUUCUAGACUGUUAAUUAUAAUAGGGUUUCACUGCUUAUAAGCUAAGUCAAACACGCACGUACAGUUGUGUGUUAUUCUUUAAUUAUGAUAUAGUCGGGAUGUCUUAAUUUUAGAGUCUGAGGCUAACGCUAGUUUGCACAAUCCACACAGAGUCUUGAAAAACUGCAACAAUAUAAAAUGGAAACAACAUUGAUUUGCUGCAUGAGCUAAACAAACAAAAUACGAACAUACAAUGAAAAAAUAGACAAUUCCAAUCCAAUCCCAAAUGAAGACACGCACAAAACAUAAUCCCAAACAAAGACAUGCACAAAUCAACUCAGAACACAAUUCUACUAUUCCACACCGAAUUAAAAAUUGUACGAGAUUCUUCUGGAUGCAAGCUUUACUUAAUUUCCAGACAAGUAGUCCAUAGAGAAAAUAUUAAAAGGCAACACACAGAGGAAGAAGAGAAGAUGGUCUGUGGACGAAAUAUUUUUGUGAAAUGACACGGACUUUCUCGUCUCCUGCAGCAAAUACACCAAUCAGCUUACUGUUUCUUACUGUAUGUUAUUUGCUCCUUUCACUCUUCGAAUGAAUUAUGUGCUUUCAUGACUGCAACACAUUUCACAAGUUUUGCCAACCUCGAUUCUCUUUCACCCUUGUAAGUCCACCCACGUUUGAUGAUGCCUGAUAAAUUACUCCACAUAUUUAUCAGAGCAACGUCAUCAUCACUCAAUUUAGUGUUUGAUGUACUUGUGUAGCACUUCUUAAUGUGAUCUGCAAUUGGUAUAAAUCUCGUAGCUUCACAUAUCAUCACCACUAAAUGUGUAAUAUGUUUAGCCAAAUCUUUAUGAUCAUCCUCAUCAAAUGGGUACUGAGUGAGAUGCUCAAAUGCGUCGAUUAAGGCUUGUCUGUUCACAUCAAUUUUUUUAAUCUCUUCGUUGGCAACACUGUAGGUGGCACCAGUUCCAAAAUGCUGAAGCAGCUCCCCCAAGGUUGUGGAUAUUUUGUUCAGGUCGUCACAGAACUGAUACAGAUCCUCAGCCACCGUCACUGCACUAUAUAAACUUAUAAUGCCCUUAUCUAAUUUUUCAAUUUCCAUUUUCAGCUCUUCAAUCUUCCCAUUCAUUUGCUGCAGCUGACAACAUUUCUCUUUCAAGUUUCCCGCAAGUCCCUUUUUCAACCCUCUGGUAGAUUCAUCUUCCUCGGGAAUUUCUUUUUCAAGUAAUUUAAUCAGCUCAAUCCUUUGGAGGAGUUCAUCUUUUAGCUGUGCUUCUGUUUUUGCGUUUGCUUUCUCUUUCAGCUUUUUUUCUUGUUCAGCCUUCCUUUCCGGUAUAUCUUUGGGUUUAUCUCCCGUUUUCAAUGUAACUGUUAUUUUGUAAUCAAUGGAAUCAAAGAUUUUGACUGCUCUUCGGAUCUCGUUGUUCCAAUUUUUGAGCCAUUGAUGGAAUUCACUAAAGAAGAUUAUUUGUACAAAAGAUAUAUAUUAGUAAAAAAAAUUAUGACCUCACGAGUGGCAUGCAUUUUAAUGCUUUUGUAAAUCAUAGUUUGAUAAAUUAUUUUGAACUUUUUUCUUCUGUAGAAAAUGAAAAUUUUAGGAAAAAAUUAUGCACCAAUAUUUUAUAUGCACUUUAAAAUGCGUGUCAAGUAGUUAAAAAUAUGUACCUUUCUUGUGUUUCCGCAUCUGUUCCGUGCUGCCCUUGGCCCAAAAAAACCUUAUGUUUUACUUCCAGCAUUAUCAUAAGCUUUUUCAUGGCAAUGCUGUCUGAUAUCUUACUCAGAUUUCCUAAUCUCUCUCCCCAAAAUUUUUUAAACUCGUCGGUUUCAGCAUCCGCAGGCUCACUCGCCUUCCAGGAAUACCUAUUUUUGGCCAGCCAAUAUAUCAAGUGGUCCGCUCUUUUCAACUGCUCAUCAAGUUCGGGUUCGUAAGUCUCUUCCUUUCCCCUACCUGUUUCCAUCGUCUGCUUCACUGUCUCUAGUAUUUGAACAGCGUACUCUGUUUUCUCCACUCCGUUUAUUAAAACUUUCAUCCUAUUUGUUAAUUUAUUGUACAGGUUUGUGACCAGCACCUUUUGCUUCUUUGUUUCAAAGUCUGAAACAAAUGCGCUAAUCAAUGACUGAUAUGAUGGACCCAAUUUAACUUUUUUUAGCUCGUCUGCAAUACAAAAACACAACUCCAAAUCAAACAGAUAAUAUUAGGAUACAACAUAAGACCUUAACCAAAAAUAUAUAUCUUACAGGAAGUUUGGAAUUGCUUAAGAUACUCAACAGCUGCAGCAGUCGUCUUAACAUCUUUCUCCUCGCUUAGAAUAAUCCAGCAUUCAGCAUUGUCAUCUAUCUCCGUCUCAUCAUCAUUGGAUUCAGCAUUGUCAUCUAUCUUCCCCUUAUCAUCUUUAUUCACAGUAGCUUCUUCCUUCUUCGGUUUAUAUUCCCUUCUGUAUCCGACCAAGUACAAACUACUUUUGUGUAUCAAAAUGUGCAAAUCGUAUUGCUCAUAAGUUAACUUUACUUGGAAAAACUUUUCAGCUGAACUGAUGUUACCUUCAAUUAAGGUUUCUACAACAGAAACUUUACCAAGGUUGUCAUCAAUCACUUCAGUAACAAUGCUUUCUACCCCAAGACAUGAUUUGAUUUUGUCCUCGAUGUCUUCAAGUGUCUUAGAUUCUCGAGUGCCACUAAGUUUCCGAUUUGGAUUUAGUGGCUUAAAUUCAUCGAUAAUGCUUUUGAUGAACUUACCGUAUUCAUCACCGUCGUCUUUGCUAAGGUCUAGAAUAUGCUGUUUAUCUUCAUCAGAUAAAACCACAGUGGGAGGAGAGUGUGUUUUUGUCAUAUAAGCUUUCAAGAUAUUAGAAAGUGAAGAAAGAUGCAGUGUUCGUCUUCAUUAAAUUAGCCCACUUUAUAGUUUUUACAAGUCUUACUGGAUCCUACACCUGAAAGUCUGCAAAAUAAUACUCCCUCCGUCCCACCAGAUUCUUUACAGUUUCCUUUUUGGGAUGUCUCAUCCAAUUCUUUACAUUUCAAAACUUACCAAAAAUAGUAAAUGGGUCCCACCACUUUCCAACUUUUUCUUCCUUUUCACACUACUUUUACUCCCCUUUCACACUACUUUUACUCCACUAUCUCUCUUUUAUACAUUAAAAAUUGAUGGGUCCCGCCAUUUCACCCACUUUUCUUUCUCUUUUCCACUACUUUAUACAUAUUUCUUAACCUCCGUGCCCAAACCAAACGUAAAGAAUUGGCUGGGACGGAGGGAGUAACAAACUGUUUAAGGUAUGUAAAAGUGUACGAAUAAUCUUAUUAUUGAACACAAAUUGUCACUGCUUUUUUCUUUUUGCCCUUUGAAGCCGAAAGACACGCCAUGAAUGAUCAUUCCCAUUAGUACUGUAAGUUGCUUGUCAGGAAAAAGGAAAAACAAGUAUAUGAAGCAUGGAUUAUUCAAAUUAAGUUGCGCCGAUUGUUCAUACUGUCGCGCUCAUUUGUUUGAAUUUGGUGAGUUAGAAAUUAUAUAAAUUACUGGAAAAAAAUGUUGGGAAUCAAUUAUUUUAUCCAUCACACAAGUCUGUCAUGGAAAUGAUGAUAUUGGUGAAAAGAUUAUGAUAUAAUUAACUUUUCAGUUGUUACCAAUUAUAACAGAAAUGACGCUUUAUUAUCAAGCAAGUUUCUCUCUUUCUUUCGUCAAAAGACAAGCAAAUAAUUAUAAUAGACAUGAGACUUCAUUCUCAAGCUUCUCUCUUUCUUUCGUCAGAAGACAAGUAUACAAGAGCAUCUCCAGCACAGUCCCAACAUGUUCCCUAAAUAUAUAAUAAAAUAUGUAUUUUGUAAGGGAUUAUUACUACAUUUUAUUCAAUGGAAACUCCAACAACAUUCCCUGUUUGUAUUCUCUAUUAUUAUUAUUGUAACAUUAUAUUCAACUUGUAAGUAGGAGAGAGAAAUGAGAGAAAAAGUGGGAAAAAGGAGAAAAGUGAAUAUUUUAUUAUUCAAAAUAGUAUGAAGAAUGGUUCCACAGUCCUUAAAAAUGAGGAAUGAAGUGGACAUUCUAACUUUUUAAGGAAUUGCUAGGACUCUACUCGAGUUGUGUUUUAUGUCCUAUUCUUUAUUAUAAUAGUUUAGGACAUCAUAUAGCUAAGCCGUUGGAGAUGCUCUAAAAUAGCAAACAAUAUGACUCGUAUUCCUUAUUUGUUAAAUCGUCAAAAUAUAUUUAAUUACGUUAUUUAUAUUUUAUAAUAUGACUUUCCCUAUUUGCUAAAUAUGUCAUCUCUAAUAUCUUCAAAUUUUCAAAAUGCAGUCAUGCUUUAGUUAAAGUUGAUACCAUUCUUUUCAUGGCAGAAAACAUGGUGAACACUUGAGUGCUCCUUGCCCCAGCCAAAAGGAAAAAGUAUGAAAAUGAGUAAUCGGUGUGUAUCCUUAAAUAUAACACGCCGGCUUUUAUAUUUGCGCACUCACUAUCGCUUCCUAGUACCAUGGUUGAGUUAUUUUUCUGGUUGUCAGGCUUUGGAACUUUCUAAGGCACCCUAUUGUUUCGUUGGCAGUGAUGCAAAAGCUGCUGCCAGAUAAUGAGGUCGUUUGGACAAUUUUAAAAAAAGUGAUUUCUCGCUUAAACACUAUUCAUUCACGUCUGCCAUAUGUUCCUUCACUCUUAUUAUUUCAGCAUCUCCUUUAACACUGUUCUCCAUGGAUUUACGUUGCUCUUACGCAGGCUUAUGAUGAUCCUCUGGCAGCUCUUUUAAAUAAUUUAAAAAAUCUAGCGAUGCUUUGUCGUCGUUACCCAUAAGUAAUAUCUCUUGGAACCAUAGCUAACAAUCUGUUCACUCUUUCAAUUGUUGGGCCGUAUUAAUCUAAACAUAUUUAUGAGCUUACUGCACUUUGCAACCCUCUACUUUGCUCGAAAAACACUUUGGUACAUAGACUUUGAAACGUGUCAGUUCGCCUCAUUAACUUAUAAUUAUCCUGCAGUUUGCACCCGUUAAUCGUUUUCCGUCUGUGGUCAAACUGUCAACGUUAAAUUGGAGGAUAAAACUGUAAUUUCACAUUUUAAAUUAAAAGAAAAAAGAAAAUACAAUCGUGCAUUACUCUCGAGCUCAUAGACACUUCGCUUCACUUCCCUCCAUCCCCAAAUAUCACUUUCCCUCCUUCCUGCUUUCACCCACCAUUCUGUACGAGUUUGAAGAUCGAUUUGGAGUUUGAAGAUCGAUUUGGAGUUUGAAGAGGGAAACAAUGCGAGGUCGUCUACGAGUUACCAGUUUCGCUGAUGAUCCUUUAAAUGGCUCCAGCAAUAUGACCUCUUACAAGGGCUUCGAAAUCCCUAAAUAUGGAGGCAAGUUUCAUCUUUGUUCAUCUAUUUUAUAUGUAUUUUGAUUGCGCGAACUAUUUUGCAUGCAUGUGGUUGUUUUUGUUAGGGUUAGGGUUUAUUGAUGUCCGAUAUAUAUUGUUUAUUGUAGUGGACUGUGGUCCCUUUAUGUUUGCUUUUUUAUAUUUGUUGUUGACAGUGGGUUGUUGCCUUCUUUGAAUACUAUUGAAUUUUUUUGCCUAAAAUAGCAUUUUCCCCCUUUAAAUCGCCUCAAUUUAAUGUAGUAACAUGGCUGAAUUUGUUAUGUUCUGUAGAGCAAUCACGGUACUUUACAAUUGCACUGCAUCACAGUGGAGAUUUUAAUGAGACUUCUACAGAAUAUGUUGGUGGCAAGCUUGACUAUUUUGACAUGUGUAGUGUACUGGAUAUGACAAUGUCUGAGAUAAAUGCAAUGAUUGGGGAAUUAGGUUUUUCUGCUGAUGAUACUCAAUUGUAUGCAUUGAUCCCAGAAAAUAUAUUGCCAGAUGGUUUAUACCCUUUAGAAAGUGAUACUGAUGUGGACUAUUUAACAACUCUAGUGGAAUACACUCACUGUCAAAUUGUAUAUGCCACUAAGAGAAGAAUUAAUGUUGCACAUGAUCUUAUGGACUUUUCAUUUACUCAAAUGUAUGAAGAUGAGAGGGUGGAUAGAAUAGAGAAGAUGAGAGAUGAAGUAGAACCUAUGGAAAAUGACAGUGAAUCUGAGAAUGGUGAUAGUCAGGAUGAAGAAGAAAAUGUUGGAGAUGAAGAAAAUGAGUGUGACUAUGGUGAUUUCAAUAGUAACAGUGACAUAGAGAAUGAUUAUGAAGAUUCUGAAGAUUCUGAUUAUGUUUGUGAUGAGAUUACUGAUGAAGUUACUGAAAAAGAGGAGAAAGAAAAGCAUACUACUAGUGAGCCAGCAGUUAAAAGGAGGAGAAGAAUACCUCCACCCAACCCUCCAUACAGGACUAGAAAAAGAGGGAGAUAUUCUAUGCUAAGAGUAAGUUUCAUUGCAUUUAUAUUCUAUUUAUGUGAAAUUUAUGUGCUUUUCAUUGGAUUUAUGUGAUAUUUUAUGUCUUUUUUGAUGCAGGGUUUGUUUAAAAACACUGAAGAUACACCUGUUAUUGUGGAUGAGGAAGAUGAUCAGCAUGUUCCAGAUGAUAAGAAGGGUAAGAACAGAUGUGUUGAUUUAAAAGGAAAGAACAAGUCUGUUGAGGUAAAAGGAGAGCCUAAGAAAUUGGCUAAAAAUCCCAGAGGUAAGAAGAGUAGCCCUCUUAAGAAGUCCAGACCUCCAAGCAAAGGGAAGAAUGUGGUGAAUCCUAGACCUAGUGCUUUGAAGCAACCUCCAAGCAAAGGGAAGAGUGUGGUGCAUUCUGCAAAGAAAAAAAACAAGAGAGUCAGAUUUAAAACUUCUGACACAGAAGAGGAUGAGGAGAAGAAAUUUGAAGAUGAGGAUGAUGAGAUUGCAGAAGAAAGUGGCAGUGAGAGCUCAGAAAGUUUAUAUGACAGUAGUGAGGAAAGAAUUGCAUUGAGUUCCCGUGAUGAAGAUGAUUCCACAUACCCUGAAUUUAAUGAAGAAAUUGAUAUGGAUGACCCUCAGUUUAAAAUAGGGAUGCUUUUUAUAAAUGGACCAGCUUUUAGGGCUGCUAUAAGAAAGCAUGCCAUUGUCAAUCAAAGGCCAGUUAGGUUGAGGAAGAAUCAUGGUAAAAGGAUCAAGUGGAUUUGUUCUGGAGGGUGCAAGUGGAAAGUGUAUGCAACACAACAACAAAGAUCUUCAAGUUUCCAGAUCAGGGCUCUCCAUAAACAGCACACAUGUAAUCCUACCUGGGACCAGAAGCAAGUAAAUUCAACCUGGAUUGCUAGGGAAUAUGAAGAUGAGAUCAGGAUGAACCCUGAUUGGCCAGUAGCUUCUUUUAGAUCCAAAGUUGUGAAUGAUUUAAAGUGCAAUAUUAGUGAUUCAAUGAUCUACAGAGCUUUGAGAAAAGCAAAAGAGGUGAUUAAAGGGAAGCAUGAAGAAUAAUUCAAGAAAGUAUAUGACUAUGGCAAUCAAUUAUUGAAGGAGAUGCCAACUUCCACUGUGAAAGUUAUGACUGAACAUGAAGCAGAUGCUACAAGGUUUAAGAGGCUGUAUGUAUGUCUAGGGCCACUGAAAGAGGGGUUUAUACACUAUUGUAGACCCCUUAUAGGUUUAGAUGGAUGCCAUUUGAAGGGUCCAUAUGGGGGAAUACUUUUAACCGCAGUAGCCACUGAUCCAAAUGAUGGUAUUUUCCCAUUAGCUUGGGCCUGGGUAGAAGCUGAAAAUAAUGAUUCUUGGGAGUGGUUUAUUUCCUUGCUGAAAGCUGAUUUAAGGAUUGAAAAUUCAGGGGCAUAUACCUUCAUAUCUGACAGGCAGAAGGUAAACUCUAUUUAUGUGUAUUUUUUGCUAAUUAAUGUACAUAUCUUUGUGUGGUUUCUAUGCUUAAUAAUCUGGUUUUAACAGGGACUUGUGAAUGCUCUGGAAGCUCUAGUUCCACAGGCAGAAAUGAGGUUCUGUUGCAUGCAUUUAUAUGCAAAUAUGAAGAAAGAACACAAAGGCACUGGAGUAAGGAGGUUUCUAUGGUAUGCAGCAAGAGCAACUAGUGAGUAUUAUUUCAAGAAAAACAUGGAAGCUUUGCAGAAGGUAUAUAUCUAUAUCUCCAAGCUUUGCAAAUUUCCUAACAAUAACUAUAUCUCCUAAUUGUUUUGCAAAUUUCAUAACAAUUUAUGAUAGCUCAAUGCUAAGGCCUAUGAAUGGUUGAGUGCAAGACCUAGAAGUCAGUGGAGCAGAAGUGGUUUCAGGGAACAUUGCAAAUCUGAUAUGUUUGUAAACAAUAUAUGCGAGGUCUUCAAUAAUGCCAUAUCCAAAUAUAGAGAUAUGGGCAUCAUUACAAUGUUCAAAGGAAUCCACCUCAGUUGCAUGCAAAGGAUACAAAAAAGAAAAGCCAAGAUGGAAAAGAGGAAUGGCAAGUGGUGUCCAAAUGCAAUUAAAAUGCUCAACAGGUACACACUAUAAUCUCUACACUGUAUAAAAUGCAUAUAAUUGCUUAUAAAUCUGUAGACUGUAUAAAAUGCAUAUAAUUGCUUAUUAAUUAGACUAUUUUACAUAUUGAAGCUCAAUCAAAUUAGCCGCGAAAGCUAGGCCAGUUUGGAAUGGUGGUGACAAAUAUCAUGUCACCAUGACAGUAGGGGGCCAUGAGAUAGUUGUUGACUUGAAUAACAGGACAUGUGCUUGUAGAAGAUGGCAAUUAACAGGCAUUCCAUGCCAUCAUGCUGUUUCAUGCAUUUAUUUCCAAAAACAAAAUCCAGAAGACUAUAUACAUGCCUGCUAUGAAAGGGAGAAAUUCAUAGGCUUGUAUAGCAAUCUUCUAGAACCAAUCAAUGGUGAAGAAUUCUGGGAAGCUACAAAUCAGCAAAGUAUCCUUCCACCAGUUAUUAAAGUAGCUCCCGGAAGGCCAAAAAAAAAGAGAGAUAGGAAAAAUGAUGUUGUAGAAACUAGGGAGAAUGAUCCUACCAUGCUCAAACGGAAGGGGACCACUUUAUCGUGUGCAUGGUGUAAGGAGUAUGGCCACAAUGUUAGGAGUUGUAAAACGAAGGGAUGUUCAUGUCUUUCACCUGCUAUUUAUCGUGUGACCACUUUAUCGUGUGCAUUGUUUGUUGUUUUUUUGUUGCAGAAACUUGAAAUGGCAAGAAAAUCACAGGAGGAAGGUGAAAAUACUGAAACUACUGCUGCAGCCCCAGUCCAGGAAAAUGCAAGUAAUGAAGCUACAGAAAAUAAUGCAGCAUUCUCAGUCGAAAGAAAGAAGAAGACUUGUUCCUAUUGCAAGAUUGCAGGACACACUGUAAGAUCAUGUUCUGCAAAGGUAUUCAUUCUUUUGCUACAUCUUUUAAAUAGUGUUUCUUUUGCUAGAUUUGUUCUUAUUUUCUUUCAUUUUCGACUAGAAAAAUGAUGAAGCUUUUGAUGGGGAGGGGGUGAUGGAUCAUGGAGAGAACCUUGUUCAGGAAGCCAUGUCAGCUACUCACACACAUGCCGGAAUUGUCAACCAAUUUCGAGCACCUAGACAAUAUCCAGGGAAGGCUCCGUUAGGUGUUGAACCUGAAAAUUACAACACAAAGGAUGGGAAGAUGUACACCUCUCAGAGGAAGCUGACAGAGGCAUUGCAAAAGAAGAAGAAAGAGGUCGAAGCUAAAAGGCCAGAGAAGUAGUUGUGUUCAUGUUCAGUAGCUAAAAUGUGGCUUCUUUUGGAACAAAAAAUUGUGCCAUAUCAUUUUGUCAGUUAUUUGAUGUCUGAUAUCAUCAAUUUUAGCAUCCAGACUUAAACAAGUUGCUCCUGUGAAGCAUACUUUUGUUGGAAUAUUGAAUAUUUUGUUGGAAUGUUGGAUAUUUUGUUGGAAUAUUGAAUAUUUUGUUGGAAUAUUGAACCAUUUCGCUUCUUAAACUUGUACCAUUACAGUACAAUAUUCAAGAUGAGAACAAUACAGGAAAUUAAGAACAUACAAGCUACCAUACUACAUUUCUGCCUCACUUUUUUUAGAGAACAAAUACACGCAAAUUAUAAUCCAAGUCAAUAGCAAUAGUAAAGCAGUUUUGUUGCAUGGCAUGUCCGUCUUUUGCUUCUUCACUUCCAAAGCCUUCACUUCACCUUCAAGGACAUUAAUCCUUCUUAUCAGGCCGGGUAUUAUCAUCCUAGCACGUUCACAAAGCGGACCAUCGACCCAACGAAAGUAAUUACACACCUGAUCCGGACAUCCAGCAAAUCUUUUUCCGCUGUUUAUUUCCGUCCAAGCUGUGCGAACAACCACCCAUUUAUUACAGAAGCAUCGCUCAGCCAUAACAAAAAGAUUUAAGAGAAGAAGAAGAUAUAUGCAGUAUACAAAUGCUGCAUCACCCACAUAUAUAUAUGAAGUAGUGCUGCCAAAAAGAGCCGUUAGCUUUUUGAACAAUUAACGUUAAUUGGCCAAUGUAACGGUCAGGGGCAAACUGCUAACGGUUUCAAAAUUAAUGAGGCAAACUGACACGAUUCAAAGUCUAUGUACCAAAGUGUUUUUCGAGCAAAGUAGAGGGUUGCAAAGUGCAGUAAGCUCCAUAUUUAUUUAUUUAGCUAACAAUCUGCUUAAUUUUUAGGAAAAAAAAAAAACAGUCUGCCAGCACUUGUUAACGUUGGUAUGUUUGAAUAAGUCUCAGGUAGUUACCUGGUUUGUAGGAGUGUGGGUAGAGUCAGUUAUCUGAUUUGUCUGCUUUCCAUAUCAAGCUCUUCCUUUCUCCACUAAACCUAACCCUAAUUCACAAUUAUUAUCUUAAUUGUGAUUUGUAUGUGUAACCAACAUCAAGCUCUUUAUUAUCUUUUCCCGCUUUCAGUUUUCUCUUUUAUUAGCUUCAGCAAUGGCGGCCAAGAGAGGAGCUCUUCUCACAAUGACUUGUUUCAGCUUAAGGCCUCUCAGUGUAAGCCCCUGUUCUCUCUCAUCCUCUCUUUUUCGUUCUCAUUUUCUUCUUUUCUCUACUAAACCUCACCCUAAUUCACAAUUUAAAGCCCCCUUUAUUCCUUCUCCAUCCACCACUCAUCCCAAACUUAAACAAUUACUCUAUCAUAAAUCUAAAGUUGGUUUUGAUAAACUCGAAGAUGCUCUUCUUCUGUUCGAUAAAAUGCUCCGUCUGAAAUCUAGGCUUUCUGUUGUGCAUUUCACACAACUGUUAACCGCCCUCGUUCGAAUGGAAAAGUACUCUGUUGCCGUCUCCAUGUUUAGAGAAUUCCGUGUUUUAAGCAUUCCUGUUGAUAUUGUUACCUUUAAUACCGUCAUCCAUUCCUGUUGUCACUUGAAUACACUUGAUUAUGCCUUUUCGUUGCUUGCUGGAAUCAUCAAGAGUGGUUGGGUACCCGAUGUCUUUACCUACAACACUCUCAUCAAGGGCCUUCUAUCUCAAGACAAGCCUUUGGAGGCUGGGGAUUUGUUUAAGAAGCUUAUCACAUUUCAAGAAAUUCAGCCCAAUGUAGUUAUGUAUAACACCAUCAUUGAUGGUCUCUGCAAAACUUCAAAUACCUCCAUGGCUCUCAAGUUAUUAAGAAAGAUGGAGGAGAUAGGUUGUAACCCCGAUGCGGUAACUUAUAACUCCAUUAUUGAUUCUUUGUGCAAAGAGAGACGAGUCGAUCAAGCAUUGGUUCUUGUGUCUGAAAUGACCGGCAAAGGCAUACCACCCAAUGUUAUAACAUAUAACACGCUACUUCAAGGCCUUUGCAGCUCCGGCCGAUGGGAGGACACUGAGUGUUUGUUAACUGAGAUGGGUGUUAGGAAGAUCUCUUCAGAUUUGCACACCUAUAAUAUAUUAGUCGAUGCAUACUGCAAAGAAGGGAGGACAACAUAUGCAGAAGAUGUGAUUGAAAUUAUGAUCCAGAAAGGUGUGCCUCCUGAUUCAAUCACAUACAAUGCACUGAUGGAUGGUUAUUGUUUAACAGGCAAAAUGGACAGGGCACUAGAGGUGUUGAAUUACAUGAGGAGUAAUGAGAUAUGGCCAGACUGUUAUAGCUAUACCAUUCUGAUAAAUGGCUAUUGUAAGAGGCAGGAACUAGACAAAGCCAUCAGUCUCCUCAGACAAAUGUCUGCUGAAGGUCUGAAACCUGUAGUUGAAACCUACAAUACACUGAUGCAUGGUCUCUUUCAGAUGGGCAGACAUAAUGAGGUGGACAACCUUUUCCAUGAAAUGCUAAAAGAAGGUAAUAAACCAAAUAUUGUGACAUGUCGAAUUUUGUUGGAUGGCCUUUGCAAGAACCGAUACAUGGAUGAAGCAAUUUCCUUCUUUCGAGUGAAUGAAUGUAAAGGUAUAGUUCAUGAUAUUCAAAUACAUAAUAUCCUAAUUGAUGGUCUCUGCAAGAACAGAAAACUUGACGAGGCCAGAAAUAUUUUUGAUAAGCUUGCUUCGAGUGGUCUGCAACCCAAUGUCAUGACACACAAUAUAAUGAUCAGAGGACUGUGUCAAGAAGGGUUAUUUGAGGAAGCAAAGGAAUUACUUUCUAAAAUGGAAACAAGCAUUUGUUUGCCUGAUGAUGUGACCUAUAAUAAGAUCAUCCGUGGAAGUCUUUUGAAUAAAAGAUAUGAAGAAGCAGCGGCUCGUAAAUUCUCAGAAGAUGCAUCCACCACAUCCAUGGUACUAGACCUAUUAUCUAAAGAACAGGACCCCUCCGUUCUUGCUUUCUGCAAAUGGUUUUUGCAAUAGGUACUGAAGUUUAUGGUUCAUUGUUAUGUAUUGUAUUGUCAUCUUUUAACUUCCUUAAGUUUUCUGCUGUAGUAAUAUGUUUUACUGAGCAAAGAAUUACUCUAAUUAGCAAUGUAAGGGGUUGCAUCAGUUUGUUAAGAGCUAAUAGACAAUAUAUUUGGGAUGGUAAGACUAUGUCUUCUAUUUGUAUUGAGUACGGUCUAUGUUCAAGUUGUCAUUCAGAAUUGAAACUUUGCAUCUCGAUGCCUCUCAUAUACAGAAAAAGAAAUCAGCAUUUGAAAAUAAUAAAAGAAGCCUAUGUAUUCAGAUAACUUUAUUCUGGAUAUACUCUCUAGCCCAUAUUUUGGCUUUCACAAACAAGCUCAUUUUUGAUAACAUAUUGGCAUUUUUCACCAUGGUGAGAGGGUAUCCAUUUAACAGUAAUAACAAGGUAACCACUAGAUUGGUGACAGGUUAGGUCCAGUUAUUGUAAGUUCAUCACCAUAUUUGAUUGAUAUUUACUGUUAUUUCCUAUGAUUGUGGCAAUUUGCUUCUCUUGCUCUACUUCAUGCUGGUCUUGCCUAUCACUGCGGAAAGUCAGCAGUUGCUGUUGGCCUCGUAUUGUUGCUGAAGUCGGCAUCUAUUCGGAUAUCUAAGAAUCUAAGGUUGUGUUCACUUGGAGUGAAUGGAAUGGGGGGAGAAUGAAAUGAAUUUUGUACUCAAAAAUGGUGUUGAUCAAAGAAAAUGUAUACAAUUUUCAUUCCUUCAAUCAUUUCAUCCCUACUAUUUUAACUAAAAUUCUAUCCUACAUGUUUUGGAAGGAAUGCUCAUUCCAUCUCUACAUCAUAUUUCUUUACAAUCUUUAUCACAAAAAAAUUGAACUCAUUCAUAUUUAGUCACUAUUAGCUCAUACUUUCUUCUUUCUCUACAAAAUUUCUAUAUAAUUUUUCAUUCCAUUCUCCCCUCAUUCCAUUCCAUCCAAGUGAACACAGCCUAAGGGUGUGUGGGGAUUGUCAUAUUGCAAUGACAUAUUUAAAAAAAGGUUUUUGAGAGUCAUAAUAUAUUAAGGGACUCAAAACUGUUCCCAGCAUUUCAAUGAAGAAAAAUGUUCUUGUGGUGAUUACUAGUACGAAGUUCUUAUAAUGUAUUUCCUCUCCAAUUUAUAUCUUGGUCAAGAGAAUGGAGGGAUCCAUUCCUUAACUCAUUGGUGUAUGAUAUAGACAUUGCAAAAUCAAACUCUGCUUGCACCCAUCCCGCUUUAACGUGAAGACGUAAGAUCACAAUCUUCCUGCUUUGUUAUGGCCCCUGCAGCUAAAUGUGUAUUCAGGUUAAAUCUGAAGGCACUGGAUGCCUCCCAUGACAGUUGAACAGGAGCGUAAUGUACAAUGGCACUGAGUUACAUUGAAGGUAUGUCAAAACUUUUUUCUUUUGACAAUUACAUAGCCCAGUAGAAAUAGUGUGUAGUGCAAAACUAAUGAAAAUGCGAUUGAUAAGUAAACAGAAUGGAAGGCAAAUUCAGUUUUCUUGUACUGAAUUUUGGUUCUUAUCAUCAUAUACCAGAGUAAUAUGCGACAAAAGCAAAUCAUUUGAUCCGUAAAUAUUUCUUAAAUAUCGGCUCUUGGAGUGUUUAUCUCAUCCUAUCAAUUUCCAGUGCAAUAUUAUUACCGUAUUGAAGCAAUGACUGAUAUAUCUUGACAUUUAAAUGCCAUAAUCGCUGAACUGACAGAUCAUUUCAUAAUCUGUGCACCACAAUUCCGAAUUAAUUUACCCAGCUAAUAGCGAAUGUGCUAUUGCUUGAAGAAAUAUCACAGACUUAAAAGCAUAUUUCAUGUUUUUUAGAAUAAAAAAUUAAAGUUUAGUAGAAAAAACAUGCACACAUCAGCAUAUAUAAAGCAUUUCAAGUUCACUUAUAUAAGAAAAUAUUUCAAAUUUAAUGGAGUUUUUAAUUGCUGACAAGGACAAGUAGUACAACAAUACACAAUUCACACAGUCUUCAGAAACAGCAACAACAUAAAAUGCAAACAACACUUUGUAGUUUGUAGUACCAAAUUCUUCCAAAUGCCAGCUUUGCUUUCCAGGCACAUAGUCCUUACACCCUGCUCCCGAGUUUUAAGUAGGGAGGAAAGCAAGUGAAGAGGAAGUAAAAUUAUCUAACUUUCACUCCUAUUCGUGCUCCCGAGUUUUUUAAAGGGACGAAAGCAAGUGAAAGUGAGUGCAAAUAUAGCAUAUUUUCACUCCAAAAGUGGGAUGAAAGUGAAAGCAACUUGCUUUCACUUACAUUCACUUGCUUUCCCUCCUAAAAAAAACUCGGGAGCAAGACCUUAGAGUCGCUAGCUGACCAGGAUCUGCAGAGAGGAAUAUUUUUUGGAUUGACGCGGACUUUCACUCCUCCUGAAACCAAAUAAUUGUUGCAAGGAUCUACUGUAACAGUUUUAGGCCUUAUGGAUACAUUUUUCAGCCGUUGCAACAGGUGAAAUAUGGUGUAGUGUGUAUUUACAAGUACACACUUUACAUUUAACUCUUUUAAUUAUUUCCAUAUAAAAGUGUAAAUUGAUUCUAUGUAUAUUAUUUUACUUAUUGGUUUGAAACUCUUCAAAUAUUUUUUAAUAAAUAAUUGUUAAAUAUUAACAUAUAUUUAUAUUUUAAUAUUUAGAUUACAAGUUAAAUGUCAAAUGUAAGGAUAUAUCAAAUUUAAACAAGUCAAAACUCGUUUCAAAAUUUAUUAGUUACAAAUAAAAUAUGUUGUUAUUAUAGGUAUGCAAAAUUCAUACUCAAUUAGAUCGACUAAUCACGAAAUUUAGAUCAAUUUAAAAUGACAUAAUUCGAGUUGUCAUUUUAAAUUUUCAACUUUAUGUUAGUAUGAUUAAUGCUACGUAUCCAAAUCUUCUCGCAAAAUUACGCAAAUAAAAUAUUUUAAUUGGAUGGUUUAUGUGCAUACAAAAGUCAUGUUAUUAGAAAAUUUUGAGAAUAAUUUUUGAGUAUUUACUAUUUUUCUACUAGUAUUUAAUGUGUUGGAAAAACACAAAUCCAAGGUGUAUUUAAACAUUUCAUUUGAUGAAAUCUAGAAUUUAAAUGAAAUUGAAGUGUAAAAAAUAUUACAAACUCAAUGAAAGAUUUAAUUGCCAUGGAGUCGUGGAUACACUUCUUGAUAAUAGAAUCCGUGUAUAAAUAUAACAGUUCACAAUUCACACAAACUUGAGAAAUAGCAGCAACAUAAAAUGAAAACAAACAAACAACGAUAAUUUGUUGCAUGAUCUUAACAAACAAAACAUGAAUGGACAAUCAAAAUGAACACUUCCAAGCCUGAACAAAGGCAUGCACAAUCACAAUCUCCAACAUAUAAUCAAUUCAGAACAAAAUCUUAUUCCACACUAAAUUAUAACGAGUAGUAGGUGAUUCUUCCGAAUAUACGGUACUAAAUUAUAACGAGUAGUAGGUGAAAGAAAUUUGUGAGUCCUCGCUAACAAACUAGGACCGAGAGGAAUAAUUUUUGGAUGUCUUUCUCCCCUCCUGCAGCAAAUAUAGCAAGUAGGAGGGUAAAUACGAGGGAGGAUGAAACGAAUAAAUAAACACAAGAGAUGAAAGAGUAUCACCGUGUAAAAAGACUGCGGAACCAACUAUACAGAACUACAACUUACUGUUUGAUAGUUGCUCCAAUUAUUCUAUAGAUACUUCUCUAAUAUACAUGCCCUUGAUGACUUCCGGAUCAUCUCCCAGCAAACUUGUUUCACCAGCGUACCACCCCCCACGUUGCAUUAAGGCUGAUCUAUGACUCCAAUUAUACACGGAAGUAAUACAUUUUUCAGAUAAAGAAGCAGUACGUGACCUUAUGGGUUGUUUCGAGGUAAUUGUUUGAAACAUGCUCUUUGACAUGUGGAAAUCUCGCAGCUUCACAUAUCAUUAUGGCCAACUUUAUAAUAUGAUUAGCGGUUUCUCUCUCGUUCUCACCAAAUGAGGACUUGGUGAGAUACUCGACUGCUUCUGUGAAGGCUAGUCUGUUCAACUUCACUUCUGCCAAACGAUCCUUCACAGCUUUGAUUUCAGCAUCUGCUCUAACACUCUGCAUCAUGAAAUUAAAGACAUUAUACUUUUCUUUAAGCUCUUUAUAGAACUUAGCCUGCUUCUCUUCGUUCACCGCUUUAUGAUAUUGUUCUUUCAGUUUAGUUUUUUUUGAAAAAAAACCUUCCCGUGUUUCGUCAUUGGUGGGGUUCGUUUCUGGUGGUCCAUCAACUAUAUCAAAAUUUUUUUUUAGCAUUUUCUUCAGCUUGAACAGGGCUUCAUGUUCCUCUCUCCAGUUUUCUGUUUCCUUUACCCCAUCAGUAUCCAUUUUUCCAGCAGUCAAGCUACGCAAGAUGGCGACUUUCUUCUUGAACACCUUUCCCCACAAAAUUAGCGAUUCUUGGGAGAAGGGUUUCCUAUAUAAAGUACAAAAAUUGUUUACAUAAAAAUAAAGUAAUCAAAAUUUUGGUUAAUAAAAAAACCGUGAGAGUACCAUCACAGUUUAAGAACAAAACUCAAAGUAGUACCUCGGGCUGUCAUGUAUUUUCUGCAGCUUUUUAAUUAGCUUUUCAGCAAGGAUAUGAUCCGCUUGCGGCUUUUUUAAAUGAUUCAAAAAAUCUCGCGCUGCUUUGUUGUCAUCACCCUCAAGUUCUGUUUCUACAUGCUCACGGGUAAUUUCGUUUGGCACCAUUUUUAACAACGUGCUAACUCUUUUGAAAUCUCCAUUUUCCUCCGGGUUUGAAUGAUACCUUUCUAUAUUCAAUUUUAAUUCCGUCAAUUUUUCUUGGGCGUAUUUUAUGUUUCUCCCUUGUUCUCGCUUUGCUAUUCCUUGAAAGUUAUCCAAUCUCUGUAUCAAAUUCUCAUAAAGGUUUGACUCUCGCGCAGAUUCAUGAAAUGACGGAUCAUAUUUGCCAAACAAGUUAGUGUAUGAUGUACCCAGUGUAACCUUCUUUAGCGAGUCUGCAAUACAAAAACAAAAAGUCCGGGAUUAAAGAGAUGAAAAUCACGACGACACAAAAUCAAAUCUGAACGAAAACUGUACCCGGUGUCAGGAGCCUGACAGACGCAGCAACUUUCUUAUGGUUUUUCCCAUCUAGAACAAUCCAGUUUUCAGCACUCACCUUUCCAUCUUUUUCCUUAUAUUUACCCUUGUACCCGACUAAGUAGAGAUUAUUUUUCUUUAUCAAAAUGUCCAAAUCGCGAUCGUCAUGCUUUAACCUUAAUUGGAAAAGCCAAUCCGCUUUCCCAUUCUUAUCCGUCAACUCAUCUUUCUUAUAUGUUCGCCGAACUCUCUUCAUGUCAGUGUCAGGGGCCUUACCUCCAAGGAGCUGUGACUCGAAACAUUUUUCAAUUUUCGGUUUCAAGUCUAUAUCAAGAAACUCUUCAUGAAAGCCCACGUCAUCAAGGCUUUUAAAAUCUCUCUUUACAUCACUUAGCGGAAAUUUCUUAAUUAAGCUUCCGAUGAACUCUUCGUACUCAUCUCCGUCUUCGUUAUCAAGGUAUAGAGUAAGCGGUUCAGAUGAAAACUCAUUGUGCUUAGUAGUAUUUGCCAUAUAAGCUUAAAGAGUUAAAGAUAUUAGAGAACAAGUGAAGAAAGAUGGUCUGUUUCUUCUCUUGAUUAAACCAACACAAUUUAUUGUUUUUACAAAGCCAUCUAGAUCCUACACCCAGAGUCUGCAAAAUACUAGUAUUAAAUUGUAUGAAGCCUGUGUCAUUUUUAUUUUAAUACAAACUAGUUUAUACGUUCUUUCAAUCUAUUCGAAACUAAUUGGAAUGUCUUCCAAUAAUUUCGAAAUGAAAAAAGAAGAAGGUAAUUUUGAAUUUUUUUUGCAAUAUAUCUAACUAAAAAGUAAUUUUUAUUUUUGAUAUUUAAAAUUCAGAAAUUCAAGAAAAUUAGAAAAAUAUAACGGAGCUAUCUGAGACGCGCUACCUGAUGAACACCUCGCUUCUAAUUAUAUUGAUUGACUAGUUGAGAAGCCGCGCGUUGCGGCGAUCUAUUGAAAUUAUAUUAAUCAUUCAAAAUUAAUAUUUGUAGAAUAAAAUAAAUUUUAUGAUAUAAACAUCUCAAUGCAAUACAAAUAUUAAUAUGUAAAAUUGGACUAUAAUUCAUGAGUGAAAAAAUGAAACUAAGUCAAACAUGCACAGGUGUUUCCGGAUUUAUAAGCUGAAGCCACAAGGAGCUGAGAGGUAGAUGUCAUAUAAGCUUGAAGAUGUUAGAAAUGAAGUGAAGGAAGAUAGUUUGUUAUUACAGGUCUUUCCGGAUUCAACACCAGCAAGUCUGCAACUACUAAUAAACUAAACUACAGAAUGCCAGUUGAUAUUUAAUAUACAAAAGGUGAUUGUGAAGUUUUGGCUUUUUGGUGUAUGAUUGAUAUUGGCUUAUUAAACAAACCGGAGCCGGCGAAAACCAAGGCUUCAACAAACAUAAACAAAAAAAGAUGAUGUGUUUCUCUUGGUUAACUAACACAAUUUAUAGUAGUUUUUACAAGCCAUCUACAUCCUACACCUGCAAGUCUGCAGAAUACUAGUAUAAAAUUGUAGGAAUCCUGUAUCAUUUUUAUUUCAAUACAAAUUAUAAGUAGUUGCCUUUGUUUUGGCUUGUGCAGUCACACACCCAUAUAUUUAUAUUCGGGUUAGUUAGAAAUUAUAUAAAAUAUUGGGAAAAAGUAAUAAAAUGAUGGCGAUUAAUUAGUUUGUUAAUCACAGUAGUCUAUCAUGGAAAUGAAGAUAUUGAUGGAGUAUAUGCCGAUAUAAUAUAAAAGUAGAGAUUUCAUUAUAAUCAACUAUAUAUUAUUAAUUUAUAAUACAAAUUAGACUGAUAUAGUUAAUAUUUAAAAGUGUAUGAACAAACAAAACAUGAACUGACAAUUCAAACAAAAUGCAUGAUCUGAACAAACAAAACAUGAACAGACAAUUCAAACAAACGGUACCGAUAGAUCCCAAACAAACGCAUGCACAAAUCAGUGAUCAACAUUGAAUCACUCAUAACACAAUCUUAUUCCAUACUGAAUUAAAACGAAUAGUAGGAGAUCCUUCCGAAUAUAGGGUAGCUUUGUUUUCGAGGCACAUAGUCCAUAUAGUCGCUAACAGACCAGGAUCUGCAGGGAGGAAUAUUUUUUGGAUUGACUCAGACUUUCUCGCUUCCUGCAGCAAAUACAGCAAGUAGCAGGGUUGAUACUAUUGCAAGCUUGAUAAGAACAUCUUGGGGUGACAUUCUGAGAUCACGAGACUAGCAAUAGCUGACAAUUGGAGCACAAUUAGUAAAGUAACGUAGUUUUUUUUUUUGAUGUAGCUGAGAAUUUUAUUUUGCUUUUUAAUUAUUAUAUACCCAUUGUUAAUUCUGAAACUCGGUGAUUAAUUACGAUUAAUCUUUGUUUCAUAUUUCGUCGAACUCAUUAAAUCUCCAAUUAUUCAAUUAAUCAUCAGAUCAAUCUUCGAUCAAUCCAAUUCAUCUUCGAUUAAUCCUUAUUAAUCCCCAUGUAGUCACCGAUUAAGUCUAAUUCUUGCUUUUUAUAACCAUGUAUAUAUAUCAUAUAUAUAUAUAUAUAUGUUCACAAGAGAUACUAAUGAUUUAUGACGUCAUUUGUUCUAGUAUUUUUUUUAUUUUUUUAGUAAAAGCACUUGCAUUCAUUAAAUCAUAUCCAAACUCAGAUCAAGGAACUAAGGUGGAGUGACAUACCACUCCCCUUCGUCUGACAUAGAAUAGGCAGCUUUGGCAAGCCUAUGAGCUACCGUAUUCGCAGAACGAUAAAUAAAAACAACUAGCACUUGAUUUACGUGCUUAACUAACUGAAUACAAUUCAUCACAAUGGUACCAAAGAAAGCUUCUCCCUGCCCACCAUUACAUGCAGCAGCUAGAGCAGAUGAUGAUGUUAGAAUAUUAUGUCAGCUUAUUAGUAUUUUCAUUCAUUUUCUUUUUCUCCACGGGUGCCGGAGAAGAUGAAUUAAUUGUCACGGGGAAGUAAAAGGUUAUGCUAGUAGAAGAGUCGCACUUCAGACAAAUAUUCUCGGUUGUAUAGAUCUUUGUGCUAGUCCAUCAACAAUUAAAUCUCUGUUAAUUAAUAAUUGAUUAAUAAUAAUAUUGUAAAAAUAAUACUUUUUCCUGAUUUCAAUAAAAUUACUAUAACGAAGACAAUACUUCUAUAAAAUAAUAAAGUCGAUGAAUUAUAUUUUUCCUCUUCAUCCCAGUAUUAUUUACUUUAAAGAUCCACAACUUCUUAUAAACAUCCAAAGUGAGAUGGUGCCCUCCUACACUUGAGGUUGAACAAUGUGUUGAUAAAACAUGAUUAACUAAUAACACGUGAACUAGAGAUUUGUGGUCCCAACAUAAUGUUGACAGUACAUAUUUAACUUCGAUUGCCCUGACAUUAAUAAUUUGUACGUGGUCCGAACAUAAUGUUUGUGAAAACCGAUAUGUGCUUAAAAUUUCACCGGUGAAUGAUCACUACGAAAAUGUAGUGCAAUUCACACGGAGUCCUGAGAAACAGCAAAAACAUAAAAUGGAACCAACAAUGAUUUGUUGCAUGAUCAAAAUAAACAAAACAUGAACAGACAAACAGAAUGAACAAUUCCAAUCCCAAACAAAAGCAUGUAGAAAUCACAAUCAACAUUGAAUCAACUCAGAACACAAUCUUAAUUAUUUCACACUGAAUUAAAAUGAGUAGUACUAAAUUCUUCCAAAUGCCAGCUUUGCUUUCCAAGCACAUAAUCCAUAGAGUUGCUAGCAGACCAGGAUCUGUAGAGAGGAAAUUUUUUUGAUUGACGCGGACUUUCUGGCCUCCUGCAGCAAAUAUAGCGAGUAGUAUGGCAAAACAAGGGACGAUGAAACGAAUAAAUAAACACAAUAAAUGAAGAGUUUCACGUUGUAGAAAGACUGCAGAUCCAAAUAUUAUACAGAGCUAGAACUUACUAUUUGGUAGUUGCUCCAGUUACUCUUUGUCUCUCUUGUCUUUAUCCAUUUGCCUUAUGACUGUCGGAUUUUCUCCCAACAAACGUCUUUCAGCAUCGUACCACCCCCCACGUUGCAUUAAGGCCGAUCUAUCACCCCAAUAAUAUAUGGAAGUAAUACAGUUUUCAGGCAAAUUAGAAUCAGUGUGGGUUUCCUUGUGGUAAUAAUUGCAUGCAACAUGCUCUGCGAUAGAUUGAAAUCUCACAGCUUCACAUAUCAUCAGGGCCAACUUUAUAAUAUGUUUAGCGAAUUUUCUAUCUUCCUGAUCCAAUGAGGAGGCGGUGAGAUAAUUGACUGCUUUUAUGAAGGCUCGUCUGUUCAACUUUACCUUUGCCAAACGAUCCUUCACUCUUCUGAUUUCAUUGUCUACUUUAACACUUUGCUCUAUGAAUUUACGAUGCUGUCGCUCAGGGUUAUAAUCCUCUCGCGGCUCUUUUAAAUAAUUCAAAAAAUCUAGCGCUGCUUUGUCAUCAGCACCUAUAAGUUCUUUUACACGCUCAAGGGUAAUAUCUCUUGGCACCAUAGCUAACAAUGUGUCCACUCUUUUGAUCAAGUCUUUAUUAUCUUUUCCCUUCAGCCUUUCAAUUUGCUCUUUCAUUGCCUUCAAUUCUGUUACGGCGUCAGUUAUUUUUCUUUCUUUGUCUCUCCCUUUUCGUGCUAGAACCAUUUUCGACUUCUCUUCUUUCUCUGCACUCCGGUCUGCCUCUGGCUCAGAACCCUUAAAAGAUGGAUCAGAUAUGCCAAACAAUGCACUGUAUGAUGUACUCAGUUUAACUUCCUUUAGCGGGUCCGCUACACAAAAACACAAAGUCCAAAAUCAAAGAGAUGAAAAUCACGACGCAAAAUUAAAUCUGAACGAAAACUGGAUAUGACUUACUCGAUGGCGGAAACUUCUGGAAAGACUUAACAACUUCGCGAUGAUUUUUCCCAGUUAGAACAAUCCAGUAAUCAGCUUGCUCCGUUUCAGCAUUCACCGCUCCGUCUUCUUCUUUUUCUUUAUAUUUACCCUUGUACCCGACUAAGUAGAGAUUAUUUUUCUUUAUCAAAAUGUCCAAAUUGCGACAUUCAUGCUUUAACCUUACUUUGAGAAGCCAAUUCUUAUCCUUCAACUCCUCUAUACUACAGGUUCGUCGAACGCUUUCCUUUUGGCGAGUGCUUGCAGCAUUUCCAGGAAUUCCCGGAAAACAUUUUUCAAUUUUGGAUUUCAACUCUUUAUCAGCGCUCUCUUUAUCAAAGUUUCGAAGUUCUUUCUCUACAUCACAUGGCGGAAAUUCCUUAAUUAAGCUUUUGAUGAACUUUUCGUACUCAUCUUUUUCAUUUUUAUCAAGGUUUAGAGUAAGCGGUUCAUCAGAUGAAACCGCAGUGGGCUGAGAGGUAGAUGUCAUAUAAGCUUGAAGAUGUUAGCAAUAAAGUGAAGGGAGAUAGUUUGUUAUUACAGGUCUUUCCGGAUUUAACAACUGCAAGUCUUCAACUACUGAUAAACUUAAUAUAUAGAAUGCCAGUUGAUAUUUCAUAUACAAAAGGUGACUCUGAAGUUUUGGCUUUUUUGUUAAUAAACGAGGAAAAGAUGGUGUGAUCGAGAUUGGCUUAUUAUUAGUUACUAAAUAAACCGGAGCCGGGGAAACCAAGGCUUCAACAAACAUGAACAAAUGAAUACUAGUAUAAAAUUGUAGGAAUCCUGUAUCAUUUUUAUUUCAAUACAAAUUAUAAGUAGUUGCCUUUGUUUUGGGGUGCGCGGGCUGUUCAUACUGUCACACACCCAUGUAAUUUAUAUUUGGGUUAGUUAGAAAUUAUAUAAAAUAUUGGAAAAAAGUAAUAAAAUGAUGGCCAUUGAUUAUUUUGUUAAUCACAGAAGUCUGUCAUGGAAAUGAAGAUAUUGAUGGAGUAUGCGGAUAUAAUAUAAAAGCAGAGAUUUUAUUAUAAUCAACUAUUAUCAAUUAUAAUACAAAUGAGACUUAUAUAGUUAAUAUUUAGAAAAUAAUAACAAAAAUUGUGAAAUAAUAUUUUCUCAACCAAAUCUCAUAUAUAAGUUUCAAAAAUAAAAAUAGUCAAUAAAAAAAUUACAUUUUCCGAUUUCUCAUAUUAUGGUCCUUAAAUCGAAAAUCGGUACGAAAAAGCGUUUCUAACUUAUAAGCUGACAAGCCGCGCAAAAUACCAAAUAUAUUUUCAAAAUGCGGUCAUGUUUUAAUUAGUUAAAGUUAUACUAUCGACAUUGGCUCAUUGCAAUUUUGAAACCAUUCUUUUUGCAGCGGAAAACAUUGUGAACACUCGGUAUCCAAGUUAGGCAAAAUGUUCGACGUACUAGCCUGCAAGGUUUGUAUGCUAAACUUGCAUGUUCUCCAGGUGUAAGUAUUCACUUAUUACGCAUUUAGAGGAGGCAUUAUUAGUAUAAACUGAACACCUAUGCAAGCAAGUUGGACUCAUAGUUGCCAUGGACUAAGCACUACCCAAAAUGAGAUCUUUGCCCUUUGUUUUCAGCUAAUAACUACUUAGUUAUAGCAGAACCAGUGGAUGCAGUACGGUGUUCCAUGUUACUUAUACACAAAAAGGAGUAUAUAUAGCAUGUGUUUAUAUGUAUAUUAAUAUUAUCAUGUAUAUAAUGUGGCAAUAAAUAACUGUUUCAUCAGUGAAUACAAGUUCAUCGAGGAAAUCCUGGAUGAGGUUCAAAUUUAAAAUUUAUUUACCUAGAUUGAGUUUAACAAGUUAUGUCAGGGUACAAGGUAAAACUGAUUAGAAGGCUUAUAGAUUAGGAAGCAAAAGCCAAUUUAGACCUUUAUAAAAUACUUCCUUGACAACAACAAAAAAAUAUAUAGUUUGGGAAACGUACCUUCCUCGAUUAUAAUUUAAAUGCCCCAUGUCUCCAUUAUGAAUUAUUCUUACCCGUGUAUACGAAUAAGUCAAAAAUAAAAUAAAAUUAAUCAAUCCAAAAUACCUUUUCCUUGCACUAAAUUACAUUUUACAUUCUAAACUUUUAAUGGAUAUUUAUUUUUAUUAAAUUAGUAUUUGCCGAAGCAACUUUUUUAUAAGGGAAGAAUUGAAGAGAAAGUGCAAGUUUUGCUUUGUGCUCUCAGUCUUUUCCGUUGCUUGACAUGGGAAAAGAUUAACAUAUUGAUUCCUUAUCCAUGGAAUUAAUAUUUUAAUGUGUAAUGUAAUCUUCUAUAUAUGGUUGUUUAUGUUCAAAAGAACCAGUAUCCCUGUUAAAUCCUCAAAUCAUAUGUGGGUAUGUUAUUUAGUUGAGAUCGAGUGAUAAGAGUGGCCAUAUGCGUGUCAACCAUAAAAAUCAACCAGUUGCAGUAAGAUUCAGCAGCCCCUACGAAAUUAAAACUAAUAUGAUAAAUAGAAGUUAAUAUUAUAAUAAUAACGCUAUUGCUUACGUUAUUGUUGACAGAACCGAGGCCAUUGUGUUUAUGCCUAAAAUUCUUUGUCGAGAAUAUUUGAUUAUUUCCUUACAUUAGUUCAGGUACAACCAAAUCUAAUGUCUUCAAUGUGCCUUCUUCGGGGAUACUACCUACUGGACACUCAAAACAGUCAAUUCAAUGCGGCAGAUAUAUAUAGGUGAGACAAGCACUGCAGGUAACUUCUAAUGCCCUUGAUAUAUUUUAGCAUUUAUAAAACAGGCCAUUGUGUUUGCGUUAAUUCACAUGGGCAAGAUUAAUGUUUGUGGCAGUAGAACACUAUACGUUUUAGAGUAAUUGACACUUUGCAACUAUACGUUUUAGAGUAAUUGACACUUUGCAACCCACAAGUUUAAGCGGUUUUUGAUUUGGUCUCAAAUAAAUUUUUUUGUCAAUAUACACCAUAAUGUUUAAAAAGCGCUUCAAUAUGCACCCUUUUGACUAUUUUCCGUCAAGUUGACUGUUACAAUUAACGGCUGCAGGGGUAAAAUAGUAAUUAUGUAGACUUUCCUCUUCUAUUUUUUCCAUACAAAAUUAUUAUUUUACCCUUGCAGCCGUUAAUCUUAACAGUCAACUUGACGGAAAUAGUUAAAAGGGUGUAUAUUGAAACGCUUUUUAAACAUUAUGAUGCAUAUUGAUAAGAAAUUUUGUUUGGGACCAAAUCGAAAAAACGCUUAAACUUAUGGGGCGUAAAGUGUCAAUUACUCUAUGUUUUAUUUGAUACAUGAGGCACCCAACAUGGAAAUAGUAUCAUGUAUUAUAAUAGCGACACCGGGAUAUUAUAUAUACAUAGUGAAAAAGGGGAAUGGCGAAAAAAGUUGUGCAGCAACUUUGACUCUUGUGCCUAAAUUGCAUUUUAAUUUUAAAGGCACUCCAACUGACACUCAUUGGGGUCUCUAAGAAAAUUCAAACAAUAUUGAUGGUUGAAAGAUUAAAAUAUCCAUUUAACACAAUUCGAAAAUAUAGAAAAAUAGGGGUGUUUAAUUAGCAUCUUGGGAAAAAAAUGGAAUUCUAGCUAAUAUUAUGCGAUGCAUGUGCCAUGCCGUGUCUUGUAUUAUAUUAUGCACAGUAUUCUUUCUUUCUUUUUUUUGCUAAACUAUGCACAGUAUUCUUAAUAAACCAGUUGUACAAUUGAAAAUAAAAUAUAGGUUGUUGAGCAACUUCCCAGCAAAGGAUUUACCUAAUAUAAUGCAUUCUGUAUUGCAUAACGGUGACUUUUGACAGAGGGGACUUCGCAAGGGGAUUUCUCAUCUGGAGGUUCAAGCUUGAAAGAAGUUCCUGCCAUUAAUCAAGCAGAUGGAGGAACAACCGCUCCAAGUAUGUUUUUCAGGUAACUGGACAAGUAUAUCAUAACAUUGGAUCUUUGAUACCACCUGAUGGACGGACCCCGAAAUUUACACAAUUAUGUAUGAUGGAUGUGACUAUGUGAGGCAAAUGAGCAUGAUGCAUUAACGGAAAGUAGUUUCUUGAAAUCACAUUUCGCUUGACAUUGGAUAAAUUGAUGGAAAGAAGAACGAUGAGCGUAUUUGCUGCAUGUAUACAAGUUAAUUUUAUUGCUUACCAAAGUAAAAAUUUAAAAGUUUAGAAUUUCUUGGUUUAUAAACCGCGCAAGUUUAUGAUCAAGGAAAAAAUGUUUUUUUAUUACUCUAUGUCGCGAAGCUUUUGUUAUAGAUAUACUACGUCUCCUGAUGUUAAGAAGUUGGUAAAAAAAAGUUUGUCCCCCCUUAUGCAUUACUCUCUGCAUCCGCCACUGUGAGCAUCGGAUUAAUUUUACAGGGAAAAGGGGGGAGAGGGAAAAGGGGGGAGAUUGAUAGGCUGAUUAUUACAACUCUCGAUAGCAUGCUCAGUCGUAACAAUGUGCUAGUGGGAAUAUUCAGCCAAAUAAGACAACAAUUUAAAAAUGUGGUAGCUAUUCCUGUACGCUUGAAAUUGAGAGACGCACAACUGAGGCCGUUUUCAUAGUAAUCAGACUCAAGAUGAUUAUGAAAUUGAGCAUAUUCAUGUUGAAUGCAUUUGAAUUCGCAGGUCUUGCCAUAGAUAUCGACUUUUGCACAGUCAUUCAGAAUAAAGCAGUUGGAUUGCAGCAUAUUAGUGAUGAGCUGCAUAUAUCCCUGUUAUAUGUCCUUGCAAUAUCCCCUUCUAUUCUCGUUCGGUUUUUCCGAAUAACUUUAUUUAUAUAAAAAAAGGUUAAACAACAAUCCGUCGAUUUCAUGAUACAACGUUUCGAAUUAGCGUCUUGGGUCUUGCACGGGCUUUUAUACUAGUUUAUACUUAUUGCAUGACCAACUCAUCUCCCUCCAAUAAUUAUAAAAAUAAUAUAUUACUUUUAAGAUAUAGCUAACAAUUAUAACUAAUUGUAUUGGAGGAAAAACGUUAACGGCACAGAUUUAUGCAUAUUUAAUGGAAGUUGUACACACUAUUUUCGCGGGUUAAUAUAAUGGGGUGCGAUUUGAAUUAUUCAUAGUUGUUGUAAAAAAAUCGUUUUUGAACGAAAAAUAAUGGGAUAUGAUAUCAAUUACCUCUAAUGUGUUUCUCUUGGUUAAACUAAAUCAGUUUAUAGUUCUUACAAGUCAUCUUUAUUUAACUGGAAUUUUAAUGAAUUAAUAAUAAUUUUUAAAUUUUAAAAGAUUGUUUAUGAUUUUAAUUAUUCAAUAAAUUUAUAUUAAUUUAUAAAUUUAAUAAAUUAUAUCUUACUUUUAUAUUUCUACAAAUUUCUGAUAAAAUGUCAUAAAAAUUAUAAAUAAUAACUGAGAUAACGCAACUCCUACCAAUGAUGAGGCCGUUAAUGUUAGUGUUCGAACCUAACAGGGGGAACACAACACUAUCAUAUGUGUUCAACCUUGUUAAUAUCAACCGCACAAUGACAUGUUACUCCGUCGCUCAUUCUUAUACAACUUUUUUCAUUACUUGUCGCGUAUUUUAUGGAUUUUAUAUAAUAUAGUUCAAUAAUUUAUUACUAUAUUUUUUGUUUAUAUAUGAAUUAAAACAUAAAUAUUAUUUUUUAUUAGAAAAAAAUUUAAAAUUGAUUAAUAAAAAUAUAAAAAAUUCUUAGAAUACGUAUCAAGCCCUUCGAGUCAACGUAUACAACUCAAUGGUAAGUGUUCCACUCUUGCACAUUAAAAUGUAUGCAAAAAGUCAAGCGUCAUAUAAUAAAAGAGAGAGAGAGUAUAUUUCACACCAAAGUCUUCAAAAAAGCAUCAACAUGAAAUGGAAACAAUCAAACAAUGAUUUAUUGCAUGAUAUGAACAAACAGAACAUCUAACACGCAAUUCAAACAAAAACACGCACAAAUCACGGUGAUCAACAUUGAAUCAACUCAGAACACAAUCUUAUUCCACAGUGAAUUAAAACGAGUGGCAGGAGAUUCUUCCAAAUAUAUGUUAGCUUUAUUUUCGAGGCACAUAGUCCAUGUAGUCGCUAACAGACCAGGAUCUGCAGAGAGGAAUAUUUUUUAGUCAGAUUUCCUCGUCUCUUGCAGCAAAUACAGCAAAUAGCAGGGUAAUUACGAGGGAGGAUGAUAAGAAUGAAGAUUAUCAAAAUUAUACACAACUAGAACUUACUGUUUGAUAGGUACUCCAGUAGUUACUAUUUAAUUGCUUCUUCGUCAUCCAUGUCUUUGAAAACUGACGGAUCUUCUCCCUUCAUAGGUGUUUCACCAGCAUACACCCACCCACGUUGUCUAAAGGCCGAUCUACUACUCCAAUUAUACACGGAAGUAAUACAAUUUGCACACAGAAUAGCAGUGCCAUGGGUUUCAUCAUGGGUUUCAUCCAUGUGGUAAUUGUUUGCAACGUGCUUCUUAAUAUUUGGAAAUCACCGUUUUGUGGAAUUCAAUGUGGAAUCACCGUACUCGUUUUAAUUCAGUGUGGAAUAAGAUUGUGUUCUGAGUUGAUUCAAUGUUGAUCACCGUGAUGUGUGCGUGUGUUUGUUUGGGAUUGGAACCGUUUGUUUGAAUUGCGUGUUAGAUGUUUUGUUUGUUCAUAUCAUGCAAUAAAUCAUUGUUUGAUUUUUUUUUUGAAACAAAGGUGUUAAUCUCAUAAUAAAAGGUCAUACGGCAUCUACACCAAUGAUCGAGUCGAACAGACAGUAUAUUGCCAUCCCGUGAUCUGACAAUGAGACAGUUAAACGAUAUUUUGAAGAAAAUGUAUGUACAAAUACAAGUACCCGCUUCAUGCAUUCUCGUUGAAUUAUGAUCUACUUAUAAGCUAACUCUAACACACACAUGUAGUCGGGUUAUUCUAGAUGGUUAAUUAUAAUAGGGUUCACUGCUUAUAAGCUAAAUCAAACGGGCACAUAUAGUCGGGUUAUUCUUUAAUUAUAAUAUAGUCGGGGUGUCUUAAUUUUAGAGUCUGAGGCUAACGCUUAUCUGCACAAUCCACACAGAGUCUUGGGAAACAGCAACAACAUAAAAAUGGAAACAACAAUGAUUUGCUGCUAAACAAACAAAUACAAUCAAAAUAGACAAUUCCAAUCCCAAACGAAGACACACACAACUCACAAUCCCAAACAAAGACAUGCACAAAUCAACUCUUAACACAAUCCUAUUCCACACCAAAUUAAAAUGUGAUCGAGUCCUCCGUCUCCAAACAUAUACAAUUGAAUAAAACGGAUUAAGUAUUAUAUAUUUACUACUGAACCUCAAAUAGAUGAAAAUUUAAAACAUGAAUUUUAAAGCUUUCCAUUUAAAGAGUAAAGCUAAUCCAAGUAACAAUGACCGAGCAUUUACUCGUCUACCGUCAGCUCUUCAUUUAAAUUGGUAAGGCUGCAUUGGUAUAGGGGCCGUUUGGGUGAGUUUAAAAUAAGUGCUACUUGCUUAAAAUAAAAAAGUGAAGUAGAAGUUAGAAACAUGUAAAGACUUAUAAGUGAUUAAAGUGUUUGGGAAAGAAGUAGAAGUCCUGAAACAAAAGUUAGCAUUCCUAGCAUAUAAGUGCUUCUUGACUUAUUACACAAAUGGUACAAAUCUAACUUAUAAACCCAGAGAUUGGGCUUUUAAACGCUCGCCAAACACCCACAUAGUCUAGCCGACAUGCAUAUGUAUCAGCAUAUACGAAGUAUCUCAAAUUUGUGAUUAGUUUUGAGAUUUUGAAAUAUGAUUAAAUAAUAUGUUUAGAUAUAAAAAAAAAGGUUGGAUCUAAAUUUCAUUUCAAAUUCAGGACUUUUAAAUGUUACACUACACCAAUUCUGGCCAUUUACGACGGAUAUCUUACGACGGAAUAAGCGGAGCGCAAAACUUACGACGGAACACAAACAUUCGUCGUAUUUUCUCGUCAAUACUUACGACGUACCAACCUUCCAUCGUAUGUUUUGCUAGAAUUCAGCCGCGCCCUAAUAAAAAAAUAAUAAAUUUUUUCCCGCGAAAAAACCGUCGAAAUUUAACCGUCGUAAGUUAACAUAUCUACCUAAAUAAAGACAAAAAAUAAAUGAAAAUAAAGUAUUUUCUUUUCCGUCGUAAAUACGCCGUCGUAAGUUCAUAUAAUUAUAUAAUUAUAUCUAUUUUAAAAAUGAAAAAUAAAUGGAAAUUAUAAAUUUUAAUUUUUCGUCGUAAAUUAACCGUCGUAAGUUAACAUAUCUACCUGAUUAAAGAAGCAAAAUAAAUUAAAAUAAAGUGAUUUUCUUUUCCGUCGUAAAUAAGCCGUCGUAAGUUCAUAUAUUUAUAUAAUUAUAUCUGUUUUAAAAAAGGAAAAUAAAUAAGAAUUAUAAAUUUUAAUUUUUCGUCGUAAUUUAACCGUCGUAAGUUAACAUAUCUACCUAAAUAAAGACAAAAAAUAAAUGAAAAUAAAGUAUUUUCUUUUUCGUCGUAAAUAUGUCGUCGUAAGUUAACAUAUCUACCUAAUUAAAGGAAAAAAAUAAAUGAAAAUAAAUUGAUUUUCUCUUCCGUCGUAAAUAAGCCGUCGUAAGUUCAUAUAAUUAUAUAAGUAAAUCUGUUUUAAAAAAGAAAAAUAAAUGAGAAUUAUAAAUUUUAAUUUUUCGUCGUAAUUUAACCGUCGUAAGUUAACAUAUCUACCUAAAUAAAGACAAAAAAUAAAUGAAAAUAAUGUAUUUUCUUUUCCGUCGUAAAUACACCGUCGUAAGUUAACAUAUCUACCUAAUUAAAGACAAAAAAUAAAUGAAAAUAAAAUGAAUUUUGUUUCCGUCGUAAUAUAACCGUCGUAAGUUUACCUAACGCAUUAACUCCCACCUUCCCACAUUGAAAUCAAACGGCAGGAUAUUCAUUUUUAAACAGAACUUACGACGGAUACGAUAAUUCCGUCGUAACUUACCAUAUAUCCCUCAGAAGCUACUGCCUCUUUCUCCCCAACAUCAUUUCUAUAUGCUCCUAACCAGAACCAAAAAAUAUGCUCAUGAUCAAAUAAAUGUGAUAUAACAAAUUACACUCAACACUUGCAUCAAUCAUUCUUGUAAGUAUUUAUUUUCUAUCUUUCCAUUUAAAUUGUAGAAAUUUUGAUCUUCCAUAUUUUAUUUUGAUUAAUAUAAUUUUUCAAUAUUUGUAUGUGGGCUUGUGUGCAUAUUUAUAAUUGAAAUUUUGUUAUUUAUUAUUUAUAGAUGUCUCCGGAUCGUAGUUGGAUCACUAUGCGAAUAAAACCCGGUGGAUAUGGUUUUACGGAUGAAUAUAAUGAGGGGGUUAAAUAUUUUUUGGCAUUUGCGCGAAGCAAUUCUAGUAAGCCGAAUGAUCCGAAUCUUUUGAUUAAUUGUCCUUGCAAUACAUGUCGGAAUGCAUUAUACCAACUCAUUCCCGAUGUCGAGUUCCAUUUAUUUGCAACCGGUUUUCUUGAGAGUUAUACUAUAUGGUGCUUUCAUGGGGAAGCUAGUGCGUCAAGAAAUGAACAAAUGGAUGAUCGCGAACCUUUUUCCGUCGUAAGUAUGUAGGACCCACGAUGUAAAUACGACGGAUUUAUCCGUCAUAUAUUAUGGUCUAACAAAAUUGAGCAGUGGGGUCCACAUGGCUGAUCUUACGACGGAAGUGAUAACUUGUGACACAAUUUAAACUACCGACCAAUUUUUUAACUUCAGACGCCAGCAAAAACGACGGAAACUUUCCGUCGUAAAUGGUACUAUUUACGACGAAAUAGGCGGAAAAAAUCUGUCGUAAUUGGCCAAUAUUGGUGUAGUGUUAGUAUAAAAUUGAAAAUUUGAAAUGACACAUAAAAAUCAUAUAUUGAAAUCCAAAUUUUAAAAAGAAAUAUAUUUUUCCAAACACAAUCAUAUAUAAACACAAAUAUUUCAAAUUGAAUCGCUGGCAUGGACAAGUAAUACAACAGUACACAAUUCACACAAAGUCUUCAACCAAAGAUUUACUUGAUGACAUGAACAAGUAAUUGAACAAUACACAAUCCACACAAACUAAGACGUCAAAGAGAGCAGCAGUAUAAAAUGGACACAAUCAAACAACAAUGAUUUGUUGCAUGAUCUGAACAAACAAAACAUCAACACAAAAUUCAAAUAAACAGUUCUAAUCCUAAAAAGACGCAUGCACAAAUCACAAUCUCCAACAAUGAAUCGACUCAGAACACAAUCUUAUUCCACACUGAAUUAAAAUGAAUAGUAGGUAUUCUUCGAAAUAUAUGGUAGCUUUGUUUUCGAGGCACAUAGUAUAUAUAGUCGCUAAUAGACCCGGAUAUGCAGAGAGGAGUAUUUUUGGAUUGACGCAGAUUUUCUUGCCACCUGCAGCAAAUACAACAAGUAGCAGGGUAAACACGAGGGAGGAUGAAACGAAUAAAUAAACACAAGAAAUGAAGAGUAUCACCGUGAGAAAGACUGUGGAACCAAUUAUGCACAACUAGAACUUACUGUUUGAUAGUUGUUCCAGUUAUGUACAAAUUCUGUAUGCCUAGCACUCAUAUUCUUUUUCAUCCAUAUCCCUGAUGACUGCCGGAUCAUCUCCCAGAAGAAUUGUUUCACGAGCGUACACCCCCCCACGUUGCAUUAAGGCCGAUCUAUGACUCCAACUAUAUAUGGAAGUAAUACAUUCUUCAGAUAAAAAAGUAGUGACCUCAUGGGUUGUUUCGUGGUAAUUCUUUGCAACAUGCUUUUUGAUAUCUGGAAAUCUCGCAGCUUCACAUAUCAUUAUGGCCAACUUUAUAAUAUGUUCAGCGGUGUCGCUCUCGUUCUCACCAAAUGAGUCCUCGGUCGUCAGAUGCUCGACUGCUUCUGUGAAGGCUUCUCUGUUCAAAUUCACUGUUGCCAAACGAUCCUUCACAUCUUUGAUUUCAGCAUCUGCUCUAACUCUCUUCAUCAUCAAUUUAAAGACAUCAGACAUUUCUUUAAGUUCUUUAUGGAACUUAACCACCUUAGCCUUAUCCUCUGUGUUCACCGCUUUAUAUCGGCCUUUCAGUGUAGCUUUUUCUGAAAGAAAAACUUCCUGUAUUCCGUCAUCGGUGGGGUUCGUUUCUUGUGUUCCAUCAUCUAUAUUAAAUUUAUUUUUUAGCAUUCUUUUCAGCUUGAUCAGGGCUUCAUGUUCCUCUCUCCAGUCCUCUACCGUAUAUCCUUUCGUUCUCUUUCCCCAAACUAUUGUAUCCUUUUUUUCAGCAGUCAAGCUACCCAAGAUGACGACUAUCUUGUUGAACACCUUUCCCCACAAAAUUAUUGAUCUUUGAUUCCUAUAAAAAGUACAAAAAUUGUUUACAUAAAAAUAAAGUAAUCAAAAUUUUAAUUAAAAAAAAAAAACCGAGAGAGUACCAUCACAGUUUAAGAACAAAACUAAAAGCAGUACCUCUGGUUUUCACUUGCCUCAGCUUCGUUCGGCGCCUGCCCCUGUUGAUUAUUAUUUUCAUAUUCUUUCUUCAGCUUUUCUAUUAGCUUUCCCAAAAGGAUAUGAUCCUCUUGCGGCUUUUUUACAUGAUUCAAAAAAUCUCGCGCUGCCUUGUCAUCACCCUCAAGUUCUUCUUCUAAACACUCACGAGUAAUAUCUUCUGUCACCAUUUUUAACAAGCUGUUAACUCUUUUGUAAUCUUCAGUCUCCUCCGGGUUUUCAUAUUUUUUAUAAUGGCUUUCAAUAUUCGAUUUUAUUUUCUUCAAUUUCUUGGUGGCGUAAUUUAUUUUUCUAUGUUCUUCUCGCUUUGCUAGUCCUUUGAAGCCUCCCAACUUCUUUAUCAAAUUUUCAUACAGUUCUGACUCUGGCACAGAAUCAUAAAAUGACGGAACAGAUUUACCAAACAAUGCAGUGUAUGAUGUACCCAGUUUAACCUUCUUUAGCGAGUCUGCAAUACAAAAACAAAAAGUCCAAAAUUAAAGAGAUGAAAAUCACGACGCAAAAUCAAAUCUGAGCCAAAACUGUGUAUGACUUACUCGGUGUCAGGAAGUUGCUGACAGACUCAGCAACUUGGAGAUGGUUUUUCCCAUCUAGAACAAUCCAGCAGUUUUCAGCACUCACUGUUCCAUUUUCUUGUUUAUAAUUACCCUUGUACCCGACUAAGUAGAGAUUAUUUUUCUUUAUCAAAAUCUCCAAAUCACGAUCGCCAUGCUUUAACCUUAACUGGAAAAGCCAAUUCUCAUUCUUCAAUUCCUCUCCCUUAAAUGUUCGUCGAGCGCUGUCCCCACAUUCCCUUGCAUCAGUGUAAUGACGAAACGUUGGCUUGAAACAAUUAUUAAUUUUCCGUCCCAACUCUUCAUCAAAGCACUUGUCAUCAUCAACUCUUUCAGGAUCUUUUUUUAUAUAACAUUCUGGAAAUUUCUCAAUUAAGCUUUGGAUGAACUUUUCGUACUCAGCUUUUUCUAUGUUAUCAAGGUUUAGAGUAAGCGGUUCAUCAAAUGAAGCCGCAGUGGGCUGAGAGGUCGAUGUCAUAUAAGCUUGAAGAGAUGUUAGAAACGAAGUGAGGGAAGAUAGUUUGUUAUUACAGGUCUUUCGGGAUUCAACACCAGCAAAUCUGCAACUACUAAUAAACUAAACUAUAGAAUGCCAGUUGAUAUUUAAUAUACUAAAGGUGAUUGUGAAGUUUUGGCUUUUUGGUGUAUGAUUGAUAUUGGAUUAUUAAACAAACCGGAGCCGGCGAAACCAAGGCUUUAACAAACAUAAACAAAAAAAGAUGAUGUGUUUCUCUUGGUUAACUAACAUAAUUUAUAGUUUUUACAAGCCAUCUAGAUCCUAUACCUGCAAGUCUGCAGAAUACUACAACUUACUGUUUGGUAAUUGCUCCAAUUACUCUAAAUCUGAUUUUUGUUUUUUCGUUUCCUGGUUGACUGCCGGAUCUUCUCAAAUCAAAAUUAUUUCACCAGCAUACACCCCCCACGUUGCAUUAAGGCCGAUCUAUAACUCCAAUUAUACACGGAAGUAAUACAUUCUUCAGACAAAGAAGCAGUGACAUCAUGGGUUGUUUUGUGGUAAUUGUUUGCAACAUGCUUUUUGAUAUCUGGAGAUCUCGCAACUUCACAUAUCAUCAGAGCCAACUUUAUAAUAUGAUUAGCGAUUUGUCCCUCGUCCUCACCAAAUCAUUCAUGAGGACUUGGUGAGAUAGUCGACUGCUUCUGUGAAUUAGACUAGUCUGUUCAACUUCACAUGUGCCAUAAGUUCCUUCACUCUUAUGAUUCCAGCAUCUACUUUAACACUCUGCAUCAUGAAUUCCAAGACUGCAUACAUUUCUUUAAGCUCUUUGUAGAACUUAGCCUGAUCCUCUUUCUUCACCGCUUUAUAUAGAGAUCUUUCAGUGUGUUUUUUUUUUGACAAUAAAUCUUCCAAUAUUUCCUCAUGGGUGGUGGCCCUCGUUUUUGGUAUUUUACUAGUCCCAUUUUUUUUUUUUGAGCAUUCUUAUCAGCUUAAUCACACAUUAAGUUCCUUUUUCAGGUCUGCUACACUUUUUUUACUCAUUUUCUCUUCCCAAUAUGCUGUAUUCAUUUUUCCAGUAGUCAAGCUACCCAAGAUGAAGACUAUCUUCUUCACACCUCUCCCCACAAAAUAAGCGAUUCUUGGGACAAUGGGUUUCUUAUAUAAACUAGUUUACAGAAAAAUAAAGUAAUCAAAAUUUUAAUUAAUUAAUAAACCGAGAGAGUACAUUCACAGUUUAAGAACAAAACUCAAAGGAGUACCUCUGGUUUUCGCAUGCCUCUGCUUCGUUGGGCACCUGCCCUUGUUGAUUAUAUUUAUCAUCUUUUUUCUGCAGCUCUUGUAUUAGCUUUCCCACACGGAUAUGAUCCUCUCGCGGCUUUUUUAAAUGAUUCAAAAAAUCUCGCGCUGCUUUGUUGUCAUCACCCUCAAGUUCUUCUACACGCUCACGGAUAAUAUUUAUUGGCACCAUAUCUAACAAGCUGUUAACUCUUUUGGAAUCAUCAAUUACCUUCAGGCUUCCAUAUAUUUUUAUUCUCCUUUCACACUGCUCACUGUUUUCUUCCUUUCGUGUUUCAAUAUUCAAUUUUAUAUCCCCCAAUUUUGAUUUGGCGUAUUUUAUGUUUCUCUCUUCUUCUCACUCUACUCGUGCUUUAAACUUUUUCAACUUGUCUUUCAUCUUUUAAUACAGGUCUGACUUUGGCGCAUAAUUGUUAAAUGACGGAUCAGAUUUCCCAAACAAUGCACUAUAUGAUGUACUCAGUUUAACUGCCUUUAGCGAGUCUGCAAUACAAAAACAAAAGGCCAAAAUUAAAGAGAUGAAAAUCAAAACUAAACCAAAACUGGAUACGACUUACUCGAUGGCAGGAACUUCCUGACAGACUCAGCAACUUAACAAUGAUUUUUCCCUUUUAGAACAAUCCAUAGUUCAGCACUCACCGUUCCAUCGUCUAUUCGUCUUCUUUAUAUUUACCCUGUGCCCGACUAAGUAGAGAUUAUUUUUCUUUAUCAAAAUGUCCAAAUCGUGAUCCCAUGCUUUAACCUUACUUGGAAAAGUGAAAACCCAAUUUUUUUCUGCAACUCCUUUGGUUUAUAGGUUCGUGAAACGCUUUUCUUGUCAGUGGCCUCACCUUCCAUGCUUGCAGCAGUUUUAUCAAACAUGUCCAGGAAACAUUUUUCAAUUUUUAGUUUUAACUCUUCAUCAAGGCUUCGAAGAGAUUUCGCUACAGAACAUUCCGGAAAUUUCUUAAUUAAGCUUUCGAUGAACUCUUCGUACUCAGUUUUGUAUUAAAGAAUUGGAUUAUAAGUGAAAAGUUAAUUUGUAUUUAUAAGUUAUUAAAAGUGUUUGGGUACCGUGACUUAUAAGUCAAGUAUUUCUAUUAGAAGAAGCUGCAACCUAAAAAAAAAAAAAGCUAGCUUUCCUUUCUUUUUUUUUGGGCUUCUUUAGCCUCAGUAUAAGCGCUUCUAUUAAUGUGCCAAACAGUCUCAUUUAAUCAGAAGCUUGCUUCUAUAUAGAAAAAGCCUAGAAGCCAGCUAGCCAAACACCCACAGUUUGUCAUUACAGGUCUUUCCGGAUUCAACACCUGCAAGUCUGCAACUACUAAUAAACUAAUACUCCCUCUGUCCCCCUAGGUAGUUUACCUUCGGGGACGAGAGUUUGACACACAUUCUAAUACUCCUAGAAAACAUAGUUCCAUAACUUAUUUUUAAUCUUUUUUCUUUUGAACAAAAAUUUUAUGUUUGAAUUUUUAAACACAAAGAGAAAAUCUCAAAAAUAAGUUAAAUACUAUGUUAUAUAAGAACCUUAAAAUGCGUGUCAAGCAGUGCAAAAAACUAUAAAGAAAUGAGAGGGACGGAGGAAAUAUAUAGAAUGCCAGUUGGUAUUUAAUAUAUAGUAUGAUUGAGAUUGUGUGCCCAUGGGCACACCAUAGAAAAACCGUAUUACAAAAACCGGAGCCCGGGAAACUAAGGCUUCAACAAAAAUAAACAAAUGAAUAAAGAUAAUGGUAAGUUGUUUUGGUUCACACACGUACAUAGUCGGGUUAUUCUCGACUGUUAAUUAUAAUAUAGUCAGGUUGUCUUAAUUUUAGGGUUCGAGGCAAACGCUGGUUUGCACAAUCCACACAUAUAUAGUCUUGAGAAACAACAACAUAAAAUGGAAACAACAAUGGUUUGCUGCAUGAGCUAAACAGACAACACAUGAACAUAUAAUCAAAAAGACAAUUCCAAUCCCAAACAAAGAUAUGCACAAAUCACAAUCCCAAACAAAGACCUGACAAAUCAACUCAGAAGACAAUCUUAUUCCACACUGAAUCAAAAGUAGUAUGAGAUUCUUCUGCAUGCCAUCUUUGCUUUCCAGACAAGUAGUCCAUAGAGUCGGGUUGUCUCAAUUUUAGGGUCUGAGGCUAACGCUGUUAAUUAUAACUCUUUACCUAAUCCCUUCCACUCUCUUGCUCUGCUAACUGUAACCGCCUUCAUUAAAUCUUCCAACCCGAAAUCUCUUUCACCCUUGUAACUCCACCCACGUACCAUUACGCCUGAUAUAUCACUCCACAUAUUUAUCAGAGCAACAUUUUUAUCACUCAAUUUAGAGCCUAAUUCAAGUGUGUAACUGCGUUUAAUGUGCUCUGCAAUUGGUUCAAAUCUCGUAGCUUCACAUAUCAUCACCACUAAAUGAGUAAUAUGUUUAGCGAAAUCUUUUUGAUCAUCCUCAUCAAAUGGAUACUGAGUGAGAUGCUCAAAUGCGCGUACUAAGGCAUGUCUGUUCAAUUCAAAUUCUUUGAUCUUUUCAUUUUGUACCCUGCAGCUGGCACCAAUUCCAAGAGCCUUCAUCUGAUUUUCCAAGACGUGUCUAAUCUUUUCCAGCUUUUCAUAGAAGUCAUACAGAUCUGUAGCCAUCAUCACUUCCCUAUAUGAAUCUAUGAUGCCCCUAUCUAAUUUGGCGGCUUUAUCCGUUUCCAGCAGCUGACCACAUUCCUCUUCCAACUCUUCCGUAAGUAUCUUUUUAAUCUCUCCAGUAGAACCAUCUUCCUGGGGAAUUACUUUUUCAAGUAAUUUUAUCAGCCUAAUCUUUUCAGGGAGAUCUUUUUUUAGCUCUUCUUCUGUUUUCCCUUCCCUUUUCCUCUUCUUCUUUUCUUUCUCCUUCCUUUUUAGCAUAUCUUUGUUUGUCUCUCCGGUUUUCGUUUCUAUUAUUAUUUCAUAACCCAAGGAACUUAAGAUUUUGACUGCCUCUCGGAUCUCCGUUUCCCAUGGAAUGAGCGAUUGAUUGAAGUCACUAAAAAGAAUAUUUGCAUAAAAGAAAGUAAAAAUAAUUCUCACCUCAUGUGUGAUUCUGUAGUAGUAAUUAGUUCUUUAAAAUGAACUAUAAAGCAUCUGUAUAAAUAUGUAAACUUGCCUUUCUUGUUUUUCCUCAUCUGUUCCAUUCUGCCUUUGGCUGAGAAAAAGCUUAUGUUUCACUUCCAGCAUUUUUACAAGCUUUUCCAUGGCAUCCCUAUCUGAUAUCCCUCUUAGCUUUUGAAAUCUCUGUCGCCAAAAUUUCUUAAACUCUUCGGCCUUUUUGUCACCCGCAGGUUCACUCGUCUCCAAGGAAUAAUUUCUUUUUCUCAGCCACUCUAACAAGUACUCUGCUCUUUUGUACUGAUCCACUAGUUCCUCAUCUGGAAUUAACCAUUCCCAAUUUGACUCAAGUUCCUCUCCCAGCAUAGUUUCUUUUAUCGUUUUUGCCAUAUCCGUUUUCAGUUUUUGUAGUAUUCCAACAAUGUAGUCUGUUUUCUCAUCUCCAUUUAACAUUUUCAAUCUACCUGUCAAUCUCUUGUACAGGUUUUUGGCCAGUGCCUUUUGCUUCUUUGUUUCUAACUCCGAAUCAAAUGGGCUCAACAAUGAAAAAUAUGAUGAACCCAAUUUAACUUCUUUAUACUUAUCUGCAAAUACAAAAAACAAACUCCAAAUUAGGGGAUGUAUUCAAUUGGAAUUUUAAAUUAUGCUACAAAAUCUGGUGGUAUUCAAUCGGGAUUUUAAAUUAUACUUUAAAAUCUGACGGUAUUCAUUUGAGAUUGUUUAAAACUCAUUAAAAUCUGAUGGUAUUCAAAUACUAAUGGUAUUCAAAUACUAAUGGAUUUUGUUGGACUUCAUGAAAUGGUGGCUUUUGUAGAAUUGUUCAGUGUAUUUUAAGUUUUUGAAAUCUAACCAAAAUCCAUGAGAUUUUGUAACACUUUGCUUAAAUCCUAAAAAAUCUAUAUCAACUCUGCGACAUUUUAACAAGAAUCCGCACAAAAUCAAAAUAGAAUACAUCAAUCUAUUAAAAUCCAUAGACUAAGAUCAAUCCAUUUAAAUUCAUAGACUAAAAACAUUCCAUUAAAAUUCACAUAGACUAAAAACAAUCCAUUAAAAUCUACAAAUAAAAUUAGGAUGCAAAAUCAGACCUGGACCAAGAAUGUCGUAUAUUACUUACCGGGAGUUAGAAAUUCCUCAACAAACUGAACAGCUGCCUUACAACACCCCCCGCUUAGAAUAAUCCAGUAAUCAGCAUUGUCAUCUAUCUUCGCCUUGUCAUCUGGAUUCAGCAUAGCUUCUUCCUCCUUCAAUUUAUAUUUCCACUUGUACCCGACUAAAUACAAACUACUUUUUUGUAUCAAAAUGUCCAAAAUGUGUUGGUCAUAAGUUAACCUUACUUGAAAAAACUUUUCACUAGCAGGGAUUUCCGCUUCAAGUGGGGUUUGUGCACGAGGAUCUUCACCGCAGUUGUCGUCCAUGUCAUCGAGCUUUGGAAGAUUCCAUCCGUCGAAACAUAAACCGAUUUGGUCAUUCAUUUCUUUAAAUAUUUCAGUUUCUCGUGGCACAUGCUUGCCUACGGUGUCACAAAGUCUCUGUCUUUUUUCUUGUGGAUUAUAUAUAUUGACAAUGCCUUUGAUGAACUCACCGUAAGCAUCACCUUCGAGUUUGUUAAGAUCUAGAUGAACCCGCAGCUCAUCUUUACCAGAUGAACCCGCAGCAUCAGGAUUGGUAUUUCUGUCCAUAUAAGCUUUGAAAAUGUUGGAAAAGAAGACUCUAACCCUAGCACCGCGGCACCUUCUAUAAACCCGAACCGAAUCCAAACGCUUUCCUUUUUCUUUUCUCUUCUCCUACCACCUAACAGGGCUGAGCAAACGGUACCGAACUUGUCUUUCAAACCGAACCGAAUUCGGUUCGAUUAAAGGAAAAUCGAACUUUAAAAAAAAUUGGAUGUUGAAUAGUUGAAUAGUUGGACGCCGCGCAGGGCUGCUCGGCGGAGCUCUGGAGGCGCGCAGGGCUGCGGUUUGUUCAACACCUGCAAGUCUGCAACUACUAAUAAACUGACGGUUUUUCUAUCUAGUAUAAGUUUGGUGGUUUUUGAUUGGCUCAUACUUCUUUAUAACGGUGGACCCUCCUGUGAAUUCACCAACCACACCAAUCAAAAUCCACCAAAAUUGCAGAAUUUGGUGCUUACCAUGUGCACAUGAGCACACACUAGACAAACCCAUAAACUAAUAUACAGAUUAAUGCAUGCCAGUUGAUAUUUAAUAUACAAAAGGUGAUUGUGAAGUUUUGGCUUUUUGGUUAAUAAACGAGGACACGACCGUAUGAUUGAAAUUGGCUUAUUAAACAAACCGGAGCCAGCGGAAACCAAGGCUUCAACAAACAUAAACAAAUGAAUAAAGAUAAUGGUAGGUUGUUUUGGUUCACUGCUAAGUGCUAAUAAGCUAACUCAGACACACACGUAUAUAUAGUCGGGUUAUUCUCGACUGUUAAUUGUAAUAUAGUCGGGUUGUCUUAAUUUAGGGUCUGAGGCUAAGGCUGGUCUGCACAAUCCACACACAUAUAACAUAUAAGUAACACAAAUGAAGUGAGGAAGGAUGGUGUGUUUCUGUUGGUUAAACUAACACAAUUUAUAGUUUUUACAAGCCAUCUAGAUCCUGCACCUGCAAGUCUGCAGAAUACUAGUAUAAAAUUGUAGGAAUCCUGUAUCAUUUUUAUUCCAAUACAAAUUAUAAGUAGUUGCCUUUCCAAAUUUCCAGAUUUUUUUGAAGUUUUAAAUUUUCAAAAUCGAAUAAAAAACGAAUUUUUAUAUUUUUUUUCAAUGUUUUUUAUUUUUUUUACAUUUUUCAAGAAUUCCAUUAAAAUCAACUGAUACUUAACAGCGCAGUGAUCUAAAUGCAAGUUUUUAUUAGUUAAGUGAGUUGACUGCAAGUUAAAUAUUGUUUUGCAAGUUAGUCAUGAGUUCAUUAAUAUUUUUGCCUAUUAACCCUUAUUUCUUCAAAAGAGGAUCUAAAAUAUUAACAAUUACAUGGAUUUUGAUUAAUAUACAUUAAUUUAACUUGUUUGAUUAAUUAAUCAAUUUAUUAGAAAAAACUUAUUUAAACAAAUAUAAAUCAACCUAGCCUGUUUGCUUUAACUUUAAGUGUUUAUUGCUAAUUAGUGAGAAGUUAUUUACAAGUGAAAGAUAAUCUUUUCGAUUUUUUUUGUUUGCACAUAAAAAUUACUCUCAAAUAUAAUAAUAAAACAUUAGAAAUUAUCUUCUAAAAUUGUCUUUUAUAUUUUUGUGAAAUAAAAAUUUUAAAACAAAAAUAAGAGCAUUAAAAUAAGUUAGCAUUUUGAAUUUUUGAUGUUCUGCAUCCUUUGGACUUUUAAGCCCAACCUAACAACACUAUAAUCAUUAUAAUUAGUUUUUUAACAAUACACUAAUAAAAAUAUUAAUAUAGUAAUCAUAUCUUUAUAAUUUAUUUUAUUUAGAUAUAUUCUUAAAAAUAAUUAACAAUUUAAAACCUAUUUUAAUUCAGAUAUACAUACUAUUAUAACAAAAAUCUCUCUACAUCUCAAAUAGUGAGAUCAGAGAAGACUUUCAUUUUACCCAAGUUGUAGCUCAAAGACCCUUGAGCAAUAGUUGCCAUGUUCGUCAAGAGUGGAGUUGUUCUCGCAAGACUUGUUUGAGAUUAAGCCUCUAUAGUUGUAUAUAUAGUUGUAAGUCCUUGUUCCCUUUUUUUUUUUUUUUUUUUUUAAAUGAGAAUAAAUCUCACAAAUAUGAACCGUCAAUUAAUUGUGAUAAUUCUUUCAUUCAAGAAAACUUAUUAUCUAACCGUCAGACAUGCAAGAUGACCGGAGAAAUUUAAACAAUAAAACUUUAAUGUCCGAAAAGAAAAAUCCGUCUUCUUCCAAGAAUUCUGAAAAUAAAACAAAGAAAACAAGAACAAUAUAAGUCAAUAUAUAACAAAUUAUAUAUAUUAUAAAAAUAAAAAAUAUAUCCAAUAAUUAAUUAUUAAUAAAAUCACGUGUAUAUACAUGUGGUGAUCAAAAUAUUCACACAAUUAUGAUAACUCAUAAUUGAGACAAUUAAACUUCAACUCGAGGCAUAUCCUUUUCCCCAUGUAAAUCUCAUUUGGUAUACCAUUACAUAAUCCCAUGAAGAUACAAAUCAACUUUCACACCACUAAAAUCUUUGAAAUACCUAUUUUUACACUUUUGACAUGGACAUCUCAUAAGGCCUUCAUCUUCAUCUUUAAGAUUAUCACAAACAAAUUUAAGAAAACUAUCCACACCAUUCUUGUAUCCUCCCGUUAUAUAUUGUAUCGACUAUGACCAACCUAACUACGAUCGGAUCAUGUCAUCUACAACAUAUACACACAAUUCAAUAUAAAUGCAAAUAAAAUAAAAUCACAAAAUUAUAAUUAACUCAUACCUAAAAUGUAUACUAAUACGCACAAUUAUACUAAUUUCAUCAUACAUGAGUAACAUCAAACAUUUAUACAAAUUUCACAAACAACUAGUAAAAUUUAGAUUGUAUACAUUUAUACAAUCAAACAUUCUAAACAAUACACUAUAUAAUAUAUACUCAUGUAUGAUGUUUGUGAAACAUUUAUACUAAUUUAGAUUUCUAAACAACUAGUAAAGUUUAGAUUGUAUAAACAACUAGUAAAGUUUAGAUUGUAUCAUACUAGAAUAUGAUAUUUACUUGAUGAUCUCAAAGAUUUGAUGAGAAGAAUAUAAUAUAUAUGAUGGCAUGAAAAAAGAAAAAUGGUGGAAAAGGGAGAAUAGAAGAGAGAAAGGAAAAGAAAUGAGAAAGGAAAAGCGGCAUGAAUGGGCAGUAGGUAUGCAAUCUGGGAAGGGUAAGAAUGACCGGUCCCGGUCAAAAUUAUAUACCUCACUGAAAAUGGUCAAAUAAAUAUAAACGAAUACAGCCAGUCAAUUUUAUAAUUUUCACCCUUCGGGAGUCGAACCUGUGAUCAAGAGGAUACAAGUCCCCUCUUUAACCAACUGAACCAACCCUUGCGGGCGUCUAUUUUAGCCUUGACUUGAUGACAUGCGAGUUUGACCUUAAAUGUGACUGCGUUCGGUCAAAAAUAAUCGGUGAAAAAUACCCGGUUUUUCUUGUAGUGGAUUUUAAACUCUCAAACUUACCACGUUAAGUCAUAAAUUAAAAUUUUAAACUCCGUCAAACAAGCUUCUAUUUUAUUUGAAUAUAUUUCAAGAAUAUUAAUAAUUUUAGUUUUAAAAAAAGGAAUAUAAAUAAUUUGGAAAAGGUACAUAACCUACUCAAUAUCUUAAAAUAUCAUUCCUGCUCAUUUCUCCAUGCUCCUUCACAUUUCUUGAUACUUUCACCAAAAUUAUUAUAAAUAUGGGUAUCGAUCUUGAACCAAAAUUUUGUUUUUAAAAACAUCUUUAAUGUAUAUAUGAACAAACAUAAAGGCCAAAAGAUUUGAGAUUGAGACCUUAUAUGUUCGACUAUGAAAAAGACGAAUAGACGAAUAGACAAGUAACAUAUAUGUUUGUUUUAAAAUAGAUGAACAUUAUGUUGACAUGUUUUCCUUCACGUCGACUUAUUAAAAUUUUCAUUAUUUGUUGGAUGAUUUUCGGGACGAACAAGACUGUUUGUGUAGUUCCCAUAUUUUUAUAAAUAUUAAUUCUAAAAAUAUAAAUAGAAUAUAUUUACAUAUUAUUUUAAAUAGUUAAAAUUAUAAUUUAUUUUAAAAAUAUAAAUAAAGUAUAUUAUUAUAUUAUAUUAUAUUUUGGUUAAAAAAUAUAAUUUAUUUUAAAAUAUAGAUUUGAAAUUAUUCACAUAUAUCUUUUUCUGAACUUUUUUGAUUUGCUUUUGUCUACGGCUAUUAACGAACCGAACUGUUCGCUAACAAGCUCGAGCUCGGCUCGUUAAGAGCUCGUUCGGCUCGUUAAGUUAACGAGCUCGAGCUCGAACACAAAAAUGUAUUCGUUAAGAAAACGAGCUCGAGCCGAGCUUUUAGUAUGUUCGGCUCGAGCUCGGCUCGUUAAAACUCGAAAAAUUGUAAUUUUUCUAAUUUUUUAUAAUACAUAUAUAUGUUAUUGAACUCAUAGAAACAUAUGAUAUAUCUAUAAAUUUUAGUGAUGUAACCAAAGUUUCGAGAAAUAAUAAUUUUAUUUGAUUUGCUAUUUUAACAGUCAAGUAGAAGUUUGACUAGUGUCGCUAACUAGUGUUUAACCCUAAUUUAGUGUUUUGAUAUUUUAAAAAAUAUUUUUUAUCGAUUCAACUGUAUGGAUGUUAACAUAUAUACAUUUUAUUGAAAUAACUAAAAUUUCAAAAAAGAAUACUCCCUUCGUCCCCCUGAAUAGUAUACAUUGGUGGACGGGGACGCGACACGGACUUUAAUGCUCCUGUAAAGUGUAGUUGUGUAAUUUAUUUUUAAAAUUUUCUUUUUCUGAAUUAAAGUUUGGAUGUUAUAUUUUUAUUCAGAAAAAAAAAUCUAAAAAAUAAGUUACGUAACUAUAUUUUAUAAGAGCAUUGAAAUGUGUGUCGAGCAGUUUAAAAGAAACGUAUACAAUUAAAUGGGACAGAGGGAGUAUUAUUUGGUUAUCUAUUUUAAGAGUCAACUCGCGGUUUAUCCUUCUUUUUUUUUUCUGGCUCGGUUCGGCACGGUUCGACUCGGCUCGACUUGUAUUUGUUCGUGAACAAGCACGUGUUCGGCUCGUUUGUUAACGAGCUCAAGCUUGAACACAAUUUUUGUUCGUUAACAAAGCUCGGCUCAACAGAAAAAAUAUUUAAAGCUCGGCUCGACGCGGCAAAAACUCAACUCGUCUCGGCUCGGUUCGUGACCAGUUGAGUGACUGCUAGACCGAGACCGUUACUGCACAUUGUAGAAUGUAGCUCAAUAAUUGCAUUUACAACCUACUCAAUUUCUCAGCAUCCCAUUUCUGCACAUUGUGUAGCUCAGAGAAGCUUCAGCAAUGGCUGUCAACAGAGGAGCUCUUCUCAUAAUGACUUGUUUCAGCUUAAGGCCUCUGAGUGUAAGACCUUGUCCUCUUUUAUCGUCUCUUUUUCAUUCUCAUUUUCUUCCUUUCUCUACUAAACCUAACCCUAAUUCACAAGUUAAACCCCCCUUUAUUCCUUCUCCAUCCACCACUCAUCCCGAACUUAAACAAUUACUCUAUCAUAAGUCCGAAGUUGGUUUCGACAAACUCGACAAUGCUCUUCUUGUGUUCGAUGAAAUGCUCCUUCUGAAAUCUAAGCUUUCUGUUCUGCAAUUCAACCAACUGUUAGCCGCCCUCGUUCGGAUGAAAGAAUACUCUGUUGCCGUCUCUAUGUUUAGAGAAUUCCGUGUUUUAAGCAUUCCUGUUGACAUUGUUACCUUUACUACUGCCAUCCAUUCCUGUUGUCACUUGAAUACACUUGAUUAUGCCUUUUCGUUGCUUGCUGGAAUCAUCAAGAGUGGUUGGAUGCCCGAUGCCUUUACCUACAACACUCUCAUCAAGGGCCUUCUAUCUCAAGACAGGCCUUUGGAGGCUGGGGAUUUGUUUAAUAAGCUUAUCACAUUUCAAGAAAUUCAGCCCAAUUUAGUUACGUAUAGCACCAUCAUUGAUGGUCUCUGCAAAACUUCAAAUACCUCCAUGGCUCUCAAGUUGUUAAGAAAGAUGGAGGAGAUAGGUUGUAACCCCGAUGUGGUAACUUAUAACACCAUCAUUGAUGGUCUCUGCAAAACUUCAAAUACCUCCAUGGCUCUCAAGUUGUUAAGAAAGAUGGAGGAGAUAGGUUGUAACCCCGAUGUGGUAACUUAUAACACCAUCAUUGAUGGUCUCUGCAAAACUUCAAAUACCUCCAUGGCUCUCAAGUUGUUAAGAAAGAUGGAGGAGAUAGGUUGUAACCCCGAUGUGGUAACUUAUAACACCAUCAUUGAUGGUCUCUGCAAAACUUCAAAUACCUCCAUGGCUCUCAAGUUGUUAAGAAAGAUGGAGGAGAUAGGUUGCAGACCCAAUAUUGUAACUUAUACCUCGAUUAUUGAUUCUUUGUGCAAAGAGAGACAAGUCGAUCAAGCAUUGGUUCUUGUGUCUGAAAUGACCAACAAAGGCAUAUCACCUAAUGUUAUAACCUAUAGCACACUACUUCAAGGUCUUUGCAGCUCGGGCCGAUGGGAGGACACUGAGAGUUUGUUAACUGAGAUGGGUGUUAGGAAGGUCUCUCCAAACUUGCACACCUAUAAUAUAUUAGUUGAUGCAUACUGCAAAGAAGGGAGGACAACACAUGCAGAAGAUGUGAUUAAAAUUAUGAUCCAGAAAGGUGUGCCUCCUAACGUAAUCACAUACAAUGCACUGAUGGAUGGUUAUUGUUUAACAGGCAAAAUGGACAGGGCACAAGAGGUGCUGAAUACCAUGAAGAGUAAUGAGAUAUGGCCAGACUGUUAUAGCUAUAACAUUCUCAUUGAUGGUCUCUGCAAGAACAGAAAACUUGACGAGGCCAGAAAUACUUUUGAUAAGCUUGCUUCGAGUGGUUUGCAACCUGACGUCAUAACACACAACAUAAUGAUCAGAGGACUUUGUCAAGAAGGGUUAUUUGAGGAAGCAAAGGAAUUACUUUCUAAAAUGGAAACGGGCAUUCAUGGUACUAGACCUAUUAUCUAAAGAAGAACAAGACCCCUCCGUUCUUGCUUUCUGCAAAUGGUUUUUGCAAUAGGUACUGAAGUUUAUGGUUCAUUGUUAUGUAUUGUCAUCUUUUUACUUCCUUGAGUUUUCUGCUGUAGUAAUAUGUUUUACUGAGCAAAGAAUUAUUCUAAUUAGCAAUGUAAGGGGUUCCAUCAGUUAAGAGCUAAUAGACAAUAUAUUUGAGACGGUAAGACUAUGUCUUUUAUUUGUAUUGAGUACGGUCUAUGUUCAAGUUGUCAUUCAGAAUUGAAACUUGGCAUCUCGAUGCCUCUUAUAUACAGAAAAAGAAAUCAGCAUUUGAUAAUAAUAAAAGAAGCCUAUGUGAUACCUCAAUAAUACAUAUAUUCAGAUAACUUUGUUCUGGAUAUACUCUUUAGCACAUAUUUUGGCUUUCACGAACAAGCUCAUUUUUCUUCCUCGUCAUAUAUGGAUAUAAUAAUAGUUACAACAUAUUGGCAUUCUUCACCAUGGUUAGAGGGUAUCCAUUUAACAGUAAUAACAAGGUAACCACUAGAUUGGUGACAGGGUAGGUCCAGUUAUUCUAAGUUCAUCACCAUGUUUGAUUAAUAUUGACUGUUAUUUCCUAUGAUUGUGGCACUUUGCUUCUCUUGCUCUACUUCAUGCUGGUCUUGCCUAUCACUGCGGAAAGUCAGCAGUUGCUGUUGGCCUCCUAUUGUUGCUGAAGUCGGCAUCUAUUCGGAUACCUAAGAAUCUAAGGGUGUGUGGGGAUUGUCAUACGGCUAUGAAAUUUUUUAUCAAAAGUUUUUGACAGGCAUAUCAUAUAAGGGACUCACACUGUUCCCAUCAUUUCAAUGAACGAAAACGUUCUUGUGGUGAUUACUAGUAUGAAGUCUUCCUGCUUUGUUAUGGCCCCUGCCUCCCAUGACAGUUAAACAGGAGCGCAAUGCACAAUGGCACUAAGAUACAUUGAAGGUAUGUCAAAACUUUUUUCUUUGACAAUUACAUGGCCCAGUAGAAAUAGUGUAUACUGCAAUAUUAAUGAAAAUGCAAUCGAUAAGUAAACAGAAUGGAAGGCAAAUUCAGUUUUCUUAUACUGAAUUUUGGUUCUUAUUAUCAUAUACUAAAGUAAUAUGUGACAAAAUCAAAUCCUUCGAUCCUUAAAUAUUUCUCAAAUAUCGGCUCUUGGAGUGUUUAUCUCAUCCUAUCAGUUUCCGGUGCAAUAUUAUUACUGUAUUGAGGCGAUGACUGAUAUAUCGUGACAUUUAAAUGCUAUGAUCCCUAAACUGACAGAUCAUUGCAUACUCUGUGCGCCACAAUUCCGAACAAAUUUACCUAGCUAGCGAAUGUACUAUUGCUUGAUGAAAUACUAAUAUCUGAUAAAUGUACACUUUGGGAUAUUUUGCAGGCUUAUACUCUUAGAAAUAGAAGCAGAAGUUGUGAUGUCAAAGUCGAUACAAAUAACUUGUAAUGUCCGAAAUAGUACAUAGCGAAUUGUGCUAAACUUUUCUUCGUCUGGUUUAUUUUUGCGCAAAAGUUCCAAGGAUAUGCAGAAAACGCAGGUAAACUGGCAUUCACUAGUAUAUUUAUCUACAACUUUGUGCCUAUAUAAUCAGGAGUAAAAAUAAAUCAUGUGUAGUACUAGACUUCAGAUGCUGCCAAUUGUCAGCAGCAGCAUAUUUAUUUAUCUUAUAUCAUUAGUCAUUAGCAUCAAACCACAUCCAUCCACUAUAGUUUUGAGACAUCACGAAACUGGGAGCCAAAAAUGUUGUUUAGUAAAUAUGCACUAUGCUGAAGAUGACUUGUGAGAGUGUGUUUGCACAAGUAGUAAUCACAAGUUUCUAGUUCAUAAAAAAUUCUGAUGGCAGUGUUCGGCAUAACCUACAAUUGUCAUAUUCUUCUUAUUUUUUAAUCAAUUUAGUGAUAUUGCUCGGUUUUUCAUUCUAUACAUUCAUAUUUAAUAGGUACUGUCCGGGUCUGGACAUUCAACGUCAGGGCAUAAUGUCAACAGGAAAAGACCGGUAAACGGCUUAAUUCUAAAUUUUGGAUGAAUAUGCAGGGGUGUUAUGGUACGUUUAACGGAAAAUUGUCUCACUUUACGUGUCACUUUAGAUGAAUAUCAGGAUAUGCUGGGGUGUGUUUUAAGCAUUCCAGUUAACAAAUUUACCUUUAAUACUGUCAGCAAUUCCUUUGCUCACUUAAAUGGUCUUGUCCCUAGUGUUGUUACCUAAAACACUCACAUGAAGGCCCUUCUAUCUCAUGCCUUUGGAGACUGAGUUUUUGUUUAAGUAGCUUAUGAGAUUUCAAGAAAUUCAGAUGGUCUCUGCAAAAUGAAUACGAAUCAUGAAUCAUAUUCCAGUUUUAGGGUAUGAUCAUUUUAUAGAAGAUAAUACGUGACCUAAAUUGAGCGGUUAUAUACUAAUAUAAGUGCUAAUAUCUGGGAUUAACAAUCAUAUUAAACGCAAUCAUCCUAUCUUUGGUGUGCUGAUGUUCUUGGACAAUAAUCCAAGCAUUGAAAACAUGCUUGGGAAUAUAGCAAAUUUUUCAUAUCAAAUUAAACCACAAAGUUUUUAAUUUAUGAUCAGUAAGGUCAGAGUAAUGGUGGCAAGUUUUACAGGCAUAGAAUUAUUUUUUAAAUAUUUAGAUUAUAUAUUGGGAUAUUAUUGACAUUAUCAGUUAAAGAGUUUUUAAAAAUAUCAAUUACUUAAACUAUAUGUUUUGUUAAAUGAGUUCAAUCAUAUUUAAGAUAAAUAAUAUCAUCAAUAUCAGUAAAAUAUGAGUUAAAUCUACUUUCUUUCUAUAUAUAAUAAGCCGACCAGGGGCAAAAUAUGCCAAGAAAAUGCCUGUGAAAUGACGAGCAUAUCCCUGAAUUAUUUAGAAUUACAAUUUUGUCACAACCAAUUGAAUCUCAGCCCAGAAUAUGACUCUUCCGCUGCUGCUGUGUCAAAGAUUUAGGGCGAUACAGGUUCUUCUGCUCCUGCUAAUUCUAACAGUACAAGCCAAACAUGUCCGCUCUCUUUAAGGUUUCUCUCUCCCCCUCCCCUCUCAUUCUGAUUUUGUGAAUAUGUGUUGUAAAAUGAUUGUUUAGCAUCUACCAUUUAAUUCUUUUUUGAUUUAUCAACUGUUUGUACAAUAAAACUUCAUCAGUUACAAAAACAUGUUUGCUCAUAUUGCUAACCUAGAUUUUGCAUUUGUUCAUCAUAUUGUCAUAUAUUUAGUCUAUUAGUUCAUAUAAGCACAAAAUUUUGAUUGUUAAAUUUAUCAGUUUCUGUAGUUGGUUUUAUUAGCAUCUACUCUGUUUUUUUUUGUUCGUAUGUAAAAUGAAGCGAUAAAGUGAUUGUGAUUGAAGGUAUUGAGCCGGUGGAACGAGUCGACACGGACAUGAACAAGCUAACCGUGAGCACAAGCAGGGAUCCCUCGAAAUUCUGAGACUUAAUUGAGAAGAGAACUAAAAACAAAGUCGAGAUCAUUUCUCCCAAAAAGCAUAAGGCCAACAAAAACGAUGGUGAUGGCAAUGACUGGAAAAAUUCCGGCGACAAGACAGCCAAAGCCGAGAAGAAAUCAAAAGAUGUAGGUGUUUAUAUGCACUACUGUAUUGCUAUAUGUAAUUUUUGGUUCAAGUUAUGUGAAAUGUAAGCUUAAAUGAUAGCAUGUUUUCUUGCAGCCUCCUGUAAGUCUGUAACAGCAGUCCUAAAGGUACCUCUGCUUUGUGAUGGCUGUAUUCAGAAAAUUCAGAAGCUUGUCUACAAAACAAAAGGUAAGUUCUUGAGUGUCAAUUUCAUAAUGAUAACUAACCCAUAAUAUAUAAUAUUAAUGAUAUAUUGAAUUAAGUUUUUUUUCAAAAAUGAUUAAUUUAAAUAUCAAAUCGUAUAAAAAAUAUUUAUAUAUCUACUUAUAUGUAAUGAUUGAAUCUGUAUGGUUGGAUUUUCAAUUAAAUAAAUUUAAUUCUGAAAGCACUAAACAGAAUAGAAAGAUAUUAGUUGCAUGAUGCAUGUAUAAUAGGUUCCAAAGCCGUACAUGUUCUCAGAAAGCAUCUAUUAAAAAAUCAAGAAGACUGCCGGAUGUGAUGCCUGAUGGGUCAUAUAAAUUUCUUUUAUAUGGGUUUUGCUAUGAUAAGUCGAAUGGUGAUUUUUAAGUAUCUCUAUCUUUCAUGGUCUUGCUGUAGGAAAUAAAAUAUCCAUUUAUAGCUCAAAAAACCCAUGGUUGGAGAAUGAUGGGAGAUUUUCCUUAUGCGGCGGGCUCAUUGUCGCCAUGGGAUGUGAAUUACAGGGGGCUGUUAGCAGAUGAAGCUAUGUACUGGGUUUUUAGACCUAGCGAGAAAGCUAGGGUUAUCGUUUCUCUGUACAUAAAACCAGAGACGGAGAAGGGUAUGCAGGUGGAUGUUGGGCACUUUUUGCAAAAGCAUUUUCUUAUGUAAAUUUAAAGUACUCAUUCUGAUUUCUGGGUGAUGGAAAAAUAUGGUGCGGAAGUCUUGGACAAAGCUGUUCAGCAUCCCUUAUGUUGAUAGUAUUCGACUCCUUGAUUUCAUAAAAUCAAAUAGAUUAAAAUGGAGUAAAUAGUAAACUUAUUUCAGCGUUUUUGAACUCCUAAGUGCUUUCAUACAUAAAGGGUUGGUCAUUUUCUCUUAUUUUGGCAGGUUAAGUUUGAAGAGACUUAUAAAAAGUAGAAGGACAAUGACCAAGUUCUUCUUAAAGUUGCAGGAAAGAGUAGGCCGCUUAACUGCAAUAUGAAUUGGAACCUGUUUAGGCUAAGCUCCGUGUGGGAUAGAUUUGCACAAGACAAUUCAUUUUCUGUAGGUGACAAUUGUGUCUUUGAACUGAUAAAUACCCAUGCAUCAGUCAUACCCUUACUUCAGAAUCAACCUAUACCCAUCUUCCUUGUAUGGUGGAUCCUUGGUAAGCUGUUCAGUUGAUAUAAGCUAUGUUAUUGUUUGGGUAUUAUUGAGAUAAACCUACUUAUAUAUAUAUAUAUAUUAAAACAAAAUCAAGGGCAAAAUAUAUCAAGAAAUUGAUAGGAAAAUUACGUGUAAGUCCUUGUGAGACAUUAAAUUAUAGUUAUACCAUCAGUUCAUAAAUGUUUCAUCUGUGAGCCUUUUUUAGUUUUUCAUCGCACAGUAAAGCUUGAAACGGAGCAGGAUCAAAAGGUAGACAAAGGAGUAUCAAGGGAUCACUCACUCAAAUGUUGUGUUGAGCAUUUUUUUUGUUACUAGAGAGAGAAAUUAGAGAGAAAAUUGAACGGGGUUUAUAAGCUAGGGUUUGUCAAAAUUCAGUAGUUAAUUUCUAGGGUUUAAUUUGAUUGUAAAGUCUCGUAAUGCUGGAAAAUCAGCCGUGCUUUCAGAUGACGAAGGUAAUUAAUUAAUUGUGAAUUAUCACUGUAAUAUGUUCCUAAAGUGCUGUUUAUUUUUUGUCUGAUUUUAUUUUUGUGCAUUUGCGUGUACAGAUGAGAUGGAGGAUUGGAGGUGUAUGAUAACAAAGAAGAAGAAGAUGAUGAAGACGGUAAAAGCUUAUUUAUAAUUUAUUCGUUAUAGGUUUUCAUUUGUUUUUUCCAGUUAUGUGUGAGUUUUUGUUAGUUUGUGUGAAAUUUUGGUGAUUGUAAUGUAGGUUUUAAUUUAGUGUUUUUCCAUAGUUGUGUUCUUGCAUCUGGAUUGUUUUUUGUGUAUGAGGUGAUGUUAGGUUUAUAUGACGUUUUUUCAUUUCUCCUGCAUGCGGUUUAUGAGAUGUUUUGGCGAUUCAUGUUGCAUGUCACUUUCAGAAACAGUUCUUUUUUCUUUAUAUUGUGACACUGUAUUAAUUAAUAACUAGCUGCUAGGACGGGGUAGGUUACUUUAAGAUUUUCCUCUUUUAGAGGCAUGUUUUCUAUUAUAUGGUUACUGCAUGUUUGCAUCUUACUUGUUUGUUAUUAAGAUUUUAGGAGUCGUGGAGCUGUUUUAUUAAUAUUGUUGAUUAACUGCUUGCUUGAGUGUUCAGAAUAUACUUCGUGUCUUUUGUUUCGGCUUUAAUAUUUUUUCUAGAGAGAGGUCCAUGAGAGCAAGUAUUCUGGGGUGUUGAUAUGUUAUGUUCCUUGCAGUUUUGCACUCAAAAAGCGUCACUUGGGCAAGUCUAAUUUUAAAAUUUUCUUAUGGCGUAUUUGGAUGAAUUCAUACCUUGAUCAAGGACAGGACAGAAUGAAUACGAGAAUGAGGGUUUUAUAGUGGAUGAUGAAAACAAGGAGUUGGUGGUGACAGUGAUGAGGAAAUGCAAAAGAAAAGGAGGCGGAAUAAAAGGUUAGUGAAUUUUUUUUUGAGCCCCGGAGUAAUAUUGCAUUUCUGUUGGCUAAACACUGUUUCCAAAAAAUUGCAGGGAAUCCUAGAACUACAUUAUUGAUGAAGAUGACUAUGAGCUGCUUGAGAAUAAUAAUGUCGCGGGUCUCCGGCGUCCAGAAGUGGGUUCAAGCAAUCAAUAACAUGGGUGUUUUUCUCGUGAUUCUAAUCAUGUGCCCAUAGUUGUAGUCCUUGAAAUUCAUGUUUUGAUUUAGCAGAGUGUAAAAAGUUCAAGCGUUUUAAAAAGCUCACAGGGAUCAUCAUUCUGGACUUUCUGGUGGCAAUGAGUUCGAUAGAUCUGGGAGGGAUUUGUUCCAACACAGCUUAUUUGGGGAUGACGAGGGUAAAACUUUGUGAGCACAAUUUCAAAAUGCUGAUUGUAUGUUACUCACCAUUUUCGUAAUGUAUAUGUUUAAAAAGUUGUGGCAACAGAACUCGAACACAUUGCAGGAGAGGAGCAACUAGAAGAAGACAAUGAACUUGGGGAUGAGGACGAUUUGGGUAAUUUCAUUGCUGAGGAAGAUUUGGACAAGCAUGGUGCUCCUAUGAGGUGAGCAUUUAGUUCAUUGGAACUUUCUCUUUGCAGAUGUUUUUGUAAGUUAUUACUUACACGAUUAGCCAUCAUUCAGGAGGGGUGUAACUAAGAAAAAAGCCUAGGCAGGCACAAGUAGUCUCUUUAUCUGCAUUACAGGAAGCUCAUGAUUUAUUUGGAAAUGUGGACGAUUUAUUCAAGCCUCGUGCAUAUCAUGAUGACUCUGGCAUAAGAAAGGAAAGAAGGAUUUGCGGUGGAUUUGAUCCAACUAUUCUCGCAGAAACGUAGAUGACUGAGAAGGAUGACUUGAUUCGUAACACAGAUUUUCUAGAAAGGUAGCAGGUAAAGAGUGAGUUGGAUAUAUUUCUGUACUUGACAUGUCUGCCAACUACUUGGGUUCGCAAUGAGCUAGAAACAUGAUACAUUUGUUUGGAAGAAUUGAAAUCAGUGAGCUGUUAAUAGUCAAGGAAGACGUGAUGAGAUUUUGGAUUUUAUUCAUAUCCAUAAAUUGGAUGUAGGUGUUGGACUUCAUGUUUAAAUAAUAACAUUGCUGUUACAUAUUCUUGCUUUAGGUGCCUUUUAUUGCAAUGUACAGAAAGGAUAGUCUCAGAAGCUAAACUUGCCUCUUCAAAAUUUCGUCUCCAAAGUGUAAUUUUUUUUUUUUUUUAUCUUUUAGCCUCGCUUUCAUAGCAGAUUAAAAUAUAUAUAUAAUUAUUAUAAAAAUUUUGAAAUAAAAUAACGAUGAAAUAAAUUGAAAGCCCGUGCAUUGCACGGGCUUUUAUGCUAGUUAAUAAUUUUAUAUUUAAACAGGUACUGCCGUCUGCCGUCGUCCCUCUCAAUUCUUAACAUUUGGAGAUGUGGGCGUGGCACAUUGGGGGAUGUGGGCGUGGCACGCACUUUGAUGCGCUUAAAAAAUAUAGUUCUAUAACUCUUCUUAAAAUUUUUUUUUCUGAAUAAAAAAUUAUAGAACUAUGUUUUAUACGUUCAUUAAAGUGCAUGUCAGACAGUGGAAAAAAAUGUUAAGAAAUGAAUGGGACAGUAGAGGGAAUAUUAGCUAGAAGUAUAUUAUUAAUAAUUUUGUUUAAUAUUAUGUUUAAGCUAGAUUUGAAAUUCGGUGUAGUUUGGUGUUUAGUUGGUUUGAUUUGAGUCUUGUUUUGGUCAAAAAUGGACAGUUUAGGGAUUUUUUAGUGUAGAAUUUGUUGUUGAAUUUGGUUUAGAGUUUAGUGAGUUUUUAUUUGUUAUAUUUGGAAUGACUAGAUUUUCCGUAAAAAUUAAUUUUCCAGUGAGAUUUAAGUUAUUCCGGUGACCUCCAUAAAUUCCGGUGAUUAGCUUUUGUUUGUUUAGUUUUGGUUGGGGUUUGCGCGCGACGACGGCGAGCAACUAUUUUCUUAUUUCGUGUGCACUCUGUUUUUGAUUUCACGUACUGAUAUGCGGCUUGUUGAUUUUUUGUUUUUUGUUUUUAUAUUUUGUUUUCUUUUUAUUUUUAAUUAUUAGUUUAAUAAUAGUUAUUAACUAAUUACAAUAGCUGUUUAUCAAUUUUAGGUGAAUAAUUAAUAAUUAUAUAUUAUUUUCUUAUUUUAAUUAUCAACUUAGAUUAAUCCGAAUUCUACUCAAAAUUUUUUGGUCUAAUUUGAUUAAAUUAAAGAUUAAAAUUUUCGCGAGAAUAAUUUUAGUCCUUGUGUAACGAAUCUUAUAUUAUUAAAUUAAAGAUUAAGAUUUUCUUAUUUAUUAUUAUUUUAAUAAUCGGUUCGGUUCGGUUUUUUGCGGUUCGGUUUUCACUUAAAACCGGAACCGUAUCCAUUAGAAUCGGUUCGUAUUUAAAAUUUUCGGUUUCAGUUCGGAUAUUUUUAUACGGUUCGAUUUUUGAUCGGUUUUACCGAUUUUAGGUUCGGUUUCUGUUUUAAUUCGGUUUUUUGCUCACCCCUGAUGGCAGGAAUUCUAUCUGUAUGAAAUAUGUGAACUUGCCUUUGUCAUUUUUCCGCAUCUGUUCCGUUCUGCCCUUGGUUGAGAAAAACUUUAUGUUUUACUUUCAGCAUUUUUAUAAGCUUUUUCAUGGCAUCCAUGUCUGACAUCUUAUUCAGCUUUUCAAAUCUCUCUCGCCAAUAUUUUUUUUAAACCGUUCUGCCCCUUCAUCACCCCUAGCUUUGGCACCCGCAGGUUCACUCGCCUCCAAGGAAUACCUAUUUUCUUCCAGCCAAUCUAACAAGUGGUCCGCUCUUUUCAAAUUCAUAUCUUCUACCAGCUGCUUUUUCAUUUUCUGUAGUAUUUGAACGACGUAGCCUGUUUUCUCCUCUCUAUUUAUCAACUGUUCCAUUCUACCUGCAGUCAAUUUUUUGUAAAGGUUUGUGGCGAGUGCCCGUUGCUUCUUCCUUUCAAACUCCGAAUCAAAUAGGCUAAACAAUUUGAAAUAUGAUGAACCCAAUUUAACUUUUCUUGGCUCAUCUGCAAUACAAAAAUACAAACUCCAAAUUAAACAGAUAAAACUAGGAUAUACCAUAUCCUAGCUCUUUAAAGACCAAGGCAAUGUAGUAAACUGAUAAAACGAGCUAGCCCAUAAAUUAACCAAAGAUUUUUUUGUGAGCAACGAUGACUCGACCCAGAAACAUAAUCUCUGCAAUCACAACAAGAAGAACACAUAUAGGCAUUAAAUCUGAGCAUUUUCUCCUUAUUUUUUGUGGGUGUUUUCUGGUUGAGCUUAUUGUUAAAUGUAUAAAGUUUGAAUCUUUCUUCUUUUAUAUGUGUAAAGGUUGAAUCUUUAUUGUUUUGAUUGUUUAAAGGUUGAAUCUUUAUUGUUUUUCUCAAGAGGGGUUGUUUAAUUUUCAUUAAAUUUUGUUUGGUGUGUUGUGUUUUAGUGGAGAUGAAGUAAAGGAGGAGAGUUCGGGAGUGCGUGGAGCAAUGAGGAGUGCUUUCUUUUGGUUCUUCCGAGCCAUUUGAAUGUUGGUGCUCAUAUCAUAUGGGAGCCAAAUGUGAGAAAAAGAAGGUGAUGACAAGUGGAUUGUGGAUGAUGUGUAGAGCAUCUGGGAUAUACUCCCUCCCUCCCGCCAGGUUUUUUACGUUACUUUUCGACACGCAUUUUAAGACCUUUAUAAAGUAUACUUACAUUAUAUUUAUUUUUAAAAAAAAAUUCUCAAAAAAAGUUUGGUGUUUAAACUUUUAUCCAAAAAAAAAUAAUUAAAAAUACGUUAUAGAGCUAUACUUUAUAAGAGUCUCAAAAUGCGUGCAAACAGUGCACGUAAGCUUCCUGGUGAGACGGAGGGAGUAUAAAUUAAGGAUAACCGAAUCGAGUGGAGUUUAAGUUUUUUCACAAAUCUUUUUACUUAUCAUGUAAGUUACGUGCAAGUUCAAUAGGUUAUUUAAAUGAGAUCCUAAAUUCGUUUUUAAGUAAUAUCUCAAAAAUAUGCACUCCAUGACUCCAACACUAUCUUAGUGAUACUUAAAUCACUUGUACAAUCUCAAAUCUCUUAACUAUUACCUAAGUAACCUCUAGCCAUUAUCUAUUUAAUAUUUAAGAAUAAAAUAAUCAUCUCUUUUUUUUUUUCUUUUCCCCUUCUCUCUCAAAGCUAUUACUGUAUUAAAAUAAUUUUAAGAGAACAAAUAUAGCAAUUGCUAUCGGAGUUGACACUAAAAUUAGAUUACCUAAAUCAAUAAGUAAUGAGAUAGGUAAUCUAUCGGACUUGAUCUAAGGAAGCUCAAGAGAUUUAUCUAGCAUAUUUCUGCAGCUAAACUUGAGUUGAUUCGCAAUUAAUUUGUCUAGGAGAAAAUUAUUUCGAAUUGAAUUCUAAAUUAAAAUUUAUAUUUUUUUUAUUUAGACUUGUUUUAAUAAAAUAUUAAAUUAUAGUAAGUUCAAUUUGAAAUAUAUUACAUAAUUAGAAUUUAAUAACUAAAUUAUAAAAGUAAGAUUUUAAAUAUUGAGUCAUGUGAAUGCAUGAUUUAUUUCAUAGAAUAGAAUUUUCAGUUGUAACAUUAAACAAAAUCUAAAUUCUUUAUGAAAAAACGACCGAUUAAUAAUAUUAUGACAUGAGUCAAAAACUACAUUCUUAAAAUAUAAUAUACUGAUUCAUGGAAAUUUAACUAAAAUUAUGAGCUUUUUUAAUAAAACAUUAAAGAAAAUUGUGUCGACAUGAACUUUUUUUUUUUUGGGAUUUUGUGGAACUGGCCAUAAAUUUAAGGCCUUUAAAUUGUUUUGGCAAAUGAGAUUUGAAAGGUACAAAAUAAGUCGGUUUAUAUUAGAUUUAGUGAUAUGUAUGUUGUCUAUUGAAGAAAAUAUUAGUGAUAUGCUGCUAAAUUUUUUUGGGUAAGAAUGAUUUUGUUGUGAUGGGAGUAGUUGAUAUGCACUCAGUGCAGGAAGAAUUUGAAAGAGGAAUUAUGUUUUUUUGAUUGCUAUGAUUAGUGGAAUUAUAUGCUAUUUAUAACUUGUGCAACGUUUCUCCUUGUGGCGUGAAAAUAAAAAAUAUUUUUUAAUAGAGAAAAGUGCACUUUGUGUAUGUGGACUUUAUCUGUUACCACACUUUCAAUAUUGUACUUUAAUAUCCUACACCCGAUAUAUCGUACUUCUCUAUUUUAUGUAGUAACUGUACUACUGUCAGUCUGUCAUGGUGAGAUUAAAUUGUAAUUAACAGGGUUAAUUCAGUAUUUUAAAUAUCAAGUUUCUACCUAUACCCUAAGCUAAAAAGACGCGACAAUCAGAGUGUAUGCACAGAUCAUUUCCUUUCAUUCACGAACUUAUUCCACAUUUAUCGUUGUGUUGACUUGAUGCAUAAUUAUAUUUAAUGUUAUCGAAAAAUGUAGAGGGACUCGCACAACAGAACAUGAGAUGAAAGCAAUGAAAGUCCCCUAGUACAUAUAUGUGUUCAAGUCAUGCUCGUAAAAAGUGGGAAUCAAAUUUGAGUGUAACCGGUAAAUUGAUGGGAUAUUUUAAAAUAUUUUAUAAGGAUUAAUCAAGAUUUUUUAAUAAAUCCGGAUUUUUAAAAUACACUGCAGCUCAGAGAAGCUUCAGCAAUGGCGGCCAAGAGAGGAGCUCUUCUCACAAUGACUUGUUUCAGCUUAAGGCCUCUCAGUGUAAGAAGCCCUUGUUCUCUUUCAUCCUCUCUUUUUCGUUCUCAUUUUCUUCCUUUCUCUACUAAACCUAACCCUAAUUCACAACCCAAAGCCCCCUUUAUUCCUUCUCCAUCCACCACUCAUACUCGACUAAAACUACUACUCUAUCAGAAAUCCAAGGUUGGUUUUGAUAAACUCGACGAUGCUCUUCUUGUGUUCGAUAAAAUGCUCCGUCUGAAAUCUGGGCUUUCUGUUGUGCAUUUCACACAACUGUUAACCGCCCUCGUUCGAAUGGAAGAGUACUCUGUUGCCGUCUCCAUGUUUAGAGAAUUCCGUGUUUUAAGCAUUCCUGUUAAUAUUGUUACCUUUAAUACUGCCAUCCAUUCCUGUUGUCACUUGAAUACGCUUAAUUAUGCCUUUUCAUUGCUUGCUGGAAUCAUCAAGAGUGGUUGGGUGCCUGAUGUAUUUACCUACACCACUCUCAUCAAGGGCCUUCUAUCUCAAGACAGGCCUUUGGAGGCUGGGGAUUUGUUUAAGAAGCUUAUCAAAUUUCAAGAAAUUCAGCCCAGUGUAGUUACGUAUAACACCAUCAUUGACGGUCUCUGCAAAACUUCAAAUACCUCCAUGGCUCUCAAGUUGUUAAGAAAGAUGGAGGAGAUAGGUUGUAACCCCGAUGCGGUAACUUUUAACUCAAUUAUUGAUUCUUUGUGCAAAGAGAGACGAGUCGAUCAUGCAUUGGAUCUUGUGUCUGAAAUGACCGCCAAAGGCAUAUCACCUGAUGUUAUAACCUAUAACACGCUACUUCAAGGUCUUUGCAGCUCCGGCCGAUGGGAGGACACUGAGAGUUUGUUAACUGAGAUGGGUGUUAGGAAGAUCUCUCCAAACUUGCACACCUAUAAUAUAUUAGUUGAUGCAUACUGCAAAGAAGGGAGGACAACAGAUGCAGAAGAUGUGAUUGAAAUUAUGAUCCAGAAAGGUGUGCCUCCUAACGUAAUC
rnacentral:lncRNA from 1 species